AAGUUUGGGCUGCCUAUUAACUCUCACUAAGACACGUGCACUCAAAGAAGGCAAGCAAAAUAUUUUUGGAGGGAAAAUGAGAUCAACUUGGCUGCAUAAGAAUUAGACAGAGAAUAAACUUUCCAAAAUGGAAAACACACAAAAAGAUAGAAGGGGUGCAGGAGAAUUUUUUGGAGGGUCUUCGUGAAAAGAAAAAGAACUCGUGUUCAUUGGUCUUUUGAAGGUUUUGAAGAUAGUUUAAAGCCGAGCAAUUGGAGUGCAGAUUGCCAGGUAUGUUCCCUGAGAUUUUGUUAUUGUUGUUUACGUUUUACUGCUCUUGAUUCUCUGGUUGUUUCUGAGAAUUUAUUCUUGCUGUUUGGAGUGGACGCUAAGGGCCACAGUUUGUUUUGUUAAGACUGGUUGCUUGCAUAUUUACACUAUUUUAGUUUUCUUUUCUUAUUUUUUUUUUUUUUGUCUUUGGUUCCUUCUGAAAGUAAUUUGAAUAUGGGUCCAUCUUUGAACUUGAUGCUAGAAGCCAUGCCCCUGUUUUUGUUCAAAUCUUAUUUAGAAUCACUCCCCUAUUCUAAGCUCAUGGAUUGAAGCAUAAAAUUGUGGCUUUUGUUGGUUUGUUUUUCUUCCACUUUUUGUUUUCCUCUAUUUCUGGUCCACAUCCCAACAAGUUCCACUCCCGGUCUUCAAAAUUUGCUCUUUGUUUUGAAAUUGAAAACUGAAGAUUGUGUGAAGGGAAACUUUCUUUUUCUGCACGAGAAGAAUGUAUUGGGAACUCUUAUAGAAGAUGUGUCAGAAUCAUCAGAUGACACAGAUGCCAUCACAAGAAGGCUAUCAAUUCUCAUUUGAGUUCCUGACCAGUGUUUCUUGAAAUAUGUUUGACUUCAUUGAAAAGCUUAAAAUAUUUCUGAAGGGUAUUGAGAUGACUGAGAAACAUAGUUUUUUUUUUCAGAAAGUUUGGUGUGGAAAAGUUUGAUCCAGCAAGUGAGCAAUUUGAUCUUCUUAGACAUAAUGUGGUAUUCCAAAUACCAGAUCUUUCUAAGCCUUUUGAUACUGUUGAUGUGGUUCUAAAGACUGCGAACCAGAUGCAGCCUGGAUCAUUUAACUUCAGUAAUGGUUCUAAACAGUUCUACAGAGGGAUACAUGAAUCAGAAAGCAAGGAAAAUGACUUGACAGCCUAUGUAAACAACUAGUUUCGAGAGAUGGCAAUAUUGGGAGCAUUGAAAAGAAGUUCCUUUGCAGUUGAGGAUUCUCCUUCUUCAACAGAUAUAACAGGGUUGUUGUCUUUUGCAUGAACAUCAUCAACUCCAGGUAUGAGGUGGAAGAAAAAUUUAAAAAGGUGUAGGAGAGUGACUUGGAUGAUGGAAGGAAAAGCAUAGUAGAAGGGAGAGAAGAAAAGCUAGAGAGGAAAGAGGGCUGACCAGGCAUUCUAGAGCAAGGAAGAAAAUCAGAGAGCAAGAGAGAAGAAGAGUAGAACAGAAGAGACGGUUCAUAGGGUUUUUGGCUAGUCUUGGGAGUAGGAGCAGCAAGCCUGAAGCCCACCACACCUUGCUGCAGAGGAGACUUUCAGGUAUGGCUGUUAUGGGUUUCCCGCUUAUGUCAUCUUUCAUGCUUCUCCCACCCCUUUCCCAAAUGAUUUUUACAUUGCUUGUUGGGUUGUUAUGGAUUGGUUAUUGUUGCGUUAAUCUUUCUUUUCUCUGGUUCCAUUAAGGAAAUAUUUGACUAUGCUUCGGUUUACUGUUUCAUACUUGAAGAGCUUGCUGCAUUUUGUGCUUUUCUUUUAAGACAUUUGCCAUGGAUUAGCCCACUGAUUAUUAAACCCAUGGAUAAAAUAAUGAAAUGGGUUCAGCAUAUUUGGUGAAUGUUUUAUGCCCUGCUCCUUUUCCUUGUCUUUUGCUCUUUCCCUGUAUUCCUCUGUUUCCAGUUCCUUUGAGUAAGUUUGAGAUGUCAUUAUUGGGAGGCUUGCUCUUGGCAAGUAUUGAGGUUGAUCCUGUUAUGGAUAUCUGCAUAAAGCCACUAGAAGGAUGGAAGAUCAGUGUAGUUACAUAGUAUAUAUGCUCUAGAUUGUGGGAUUUGAAAUCUGUGCUGCUGCAUUGCUGGGGAUACUGACACAGGGCAUAAUACCUUUGAGAACGGAAAUCUAAAAGUUUCAGACUUUGAAUGAGCGCUUUUGCGGAACCUAAACGCCAAGAUGAUUGGUUUCACACAACUAAAAGGCACACACCAGGAGCUUCAAGUUCAGAAUCUUGACUAUGCCAUUUCCUAUGACCCCUUCCUCCAUUCCUUACCUUUCUUCAUUCAAGCACUAGCUUCUGGAAGAUACCCAAGUCAUAAUAUGUUCCCUUCUGUGCUAAAAUCAUGCACUUUGAUGAAAAACUUGAGUUUCAGUGGUGCAUAGAAAUUUUGUGAUUCCGAGAUGAUCAGUGGAAUUCUUGAACAAAGGAGAUGUUGUGGGAGAUGGUAACAUAUGUUUUCCAGCUUGGUUAUAGAUUGUUAAAUGUGAAGCACAGUUAAAAUCUGAUCCUGGAUGACCGGUAGUAGCGGGAUGGCAAAGCUGGUGGCAAUCCAACAUUGACUCUUUCCACAAACACAAAUAUCUUUCACCAACAAAGACCUCCCCAUGUGCAUAUGAUCCAUGCAUGCAUGACCACCCAAAGCCUUCUGAUGAAAUCCUUCUUCAUCAAAUCCAAAUCCUAAGCAUCCAACCCCUUUUCAACGAAACAAUAGCUAAACUUGAAGUUGAAUUGAGCCGCCCUGGAAAGCUAAUUGUUGCUGAUGUUGAAGGAAAGUUAUGCAUGAUCAUGGAAAUCCCUCAAGUCUUUGAUCAGACCAAUAAAGAGCCUCUUGAUGAUGUGUACCUGGUGUUGGAAGUAUCUUCGAAAACAGAGUUCCUGACAUUCCCUAGAGGUAAGUGAGCAGUGAUCAAAAUAUCUCUGAAGAUCAAAAUCUUGGAUAGUCACCAUGGAAGCAUUCUGAAUGCAUUCAACUGCCAUGUGGUUAUUAUCUGAGUUGGCAUUGACAGCCACGGAGCUGCUCUGCAUGCAGUGUAGAAAGGUGUAUUGAUUGGCACCAGCGAUCCUUACAAAAGAGCGGCACGCAAUCCACCAGAAAAGGAAGUCAUGAUCAUAACAGUGGAAAAGACCAACCAUGUUUCUUAAAUGAAGAAGAUUUGCACCUCAGCUAUCAGCUUCUGUUUGUGGAAAACUGAGGAUAAACCCCAAGCAGCCUGAAUAUUAAGAAAAACAUAAGCACUUUGAAAUUUUACAGUGGGGAUAUUGAAAUAAGGUCUUUGCUAGAACCUGAAAUGGUGGGAGUCAUGACACUGCUACUGUUAUUGGUUGUGGGAGGAACAUUAGUGGGUUGCUGAAGCAUGCAAUUUGGAACUCCCAUGCUCAUGUUGAUUCCAUGAAGAAACAACUUGGUUUCGUAUGGCAUUAGCAAUGCAACCUACAGAAAAGAAUAUUUGAACUGAGAUUCCAAGCUGCAAUGACUAUGCUCCGAUCUCUACAUGUGAAGAAGUAUCUCUCGAAGUCGGUUGACUCUAUUAUCUCGAGAUAAUUGUUUGAAAGGAUGCACCUUUUUGUUGGAACAUACACACAAGUACAACAUCUGGGAUAGGUUGUAGUCCAAGGUUGAUUCAAUUGAUGGAUUGUCUUCAAGUAGCCAAGGCUUGGAGAAGGAAAGUAUUUUGGUGGGUAUGACAGAUCAAUCCUAUUUGGCUGGUGUAGAGAAACUAAUGACAGAGCUGUCAUUCUUAUUAAUGAGCCAACUCUAGCGUUUAUGAAGGUACGGAUUCUGAUUACAAGGGUCGUUUAUUGUUUGGGUAUACUCCAGUUCACUCAGAUUCCAUUGUUGGAGAGUCAGGAUUAUCUGUGACAAGCUUUACCCGAUAUCCAUUUGAUGGUGGACAUGCCAAUGGGUAUUUGAUGUUCAUCUUCUCCGUCAUUGCAUGACAUAUGCAAUGGCCAUGGUGAGUCCAGUUUGGGCAACCUCACAGUAGCAUGAUCACGUAUGGUUGCAUGAAAUUGGAGUUUGUCACCGGCUCUAACAAGAAUUGGGGUGAAAUUGCUGAUUCUUAUAGACGGGCAUCAGGGUUAUACACUAAAUAUGGUAGAUCACAACCUGCACCAAAUGUUCUGGCAAAGGAUGCUCGUGUUCUAGAAGGCGUUGAUUUGGGCAAAGCCAUACAACUCUACAAAGAUGCUUGUGUUAUGCCAGGGUCUGUGCUUCUCAAGAGCAACUCGAUUCUGUUGAAUCCGUCACCCCUCACUAUACCCUGGAUUAAUGAAAGUGGCACACCCAGGGUACAAAAAGAUGCUCCUAUUUCCACCAAGGUAGUGAAAGCAAGCACCCUUAAGCAGAAACAGGUUUCUCCUCCAAAAAUUUGAUGGCAUGAGCUUGGGUCAUCCAACUCCUUGACAAUCCUGAAAAGUGGCUUUUCAGUGAGCUGUAGCAGUGAAGACAAUACCGAUGCUGGUUAUAAUAUAAGUCUGUCUAGUGAAGAAGAGUGUAACUUCUUCCAGAGCAGGUGGCUGUGUCCAUGAAUUACACACCAAGGGUUUCAUUUGUUUCAUCGAAACUCCUGAGAGGAGUGGGCAAAUCUCUAUUUACAAGCUGAAGUCAUGAAGCCCUAUAAUUCAGAAGUGCAAUAGACUGGAGAGAAAAGUAGUGUUGUUUCUCAUAUUGACCAUGAGGCACAGAGCAUCAUAACUGAAAAGGAACAGGAAGUUCAAAUCUCACAGGUUACUGAAGUCGAGCCUGAAAGGAUGCCCAAAACUGAGAAACUCCAGGAUGAAAUUAAGCUGAUUUCUCGUGCUAAACUUGAGUCCAGCAGAGCAAUUUUCAAAUUUUCUUCUCAUUCACCAGUCUCGCCCUGUUUCAGAGGUUUUAGAGAGAGUUAGCAGUCAGAUCACUGUGUGGAAAGAGAAGUGACACAAAUGAAAGGAGCGCCGCAGUGGAGAAAUUGAUUGCGUCUCUUGAACAAAAAUUGAUAAAGAUUUAAUGGCAGUGUCCGAGAUUAGACUACAACUCAGAGAUAGGUUCAGCAAAAAAGUUCAGCUUCAGAUCAGGUGGACUUUGCCUCACCAAUGACAGAACAGAUGGAUACCACCCUAUCAUCAACUGGUCAGAUGGAUCUCACAUAGCCAGCAUUAGUUAAAGAAGAUUCCUUUCCUGCAACAACAGACAAGAAAACUCCAAAAUUGUUGAAUUAAAAAGAGCAGUCCAUGUUUAUCAGACUUUGGUGAUCAGAAUUGUUCCUCUGCUUCAACUUUAUGCUACACUGCCUCUGGAAAACAGUGAAUCAAAAUGACAAUUAGCCAAAUUGUUGUAGCAAAAGUUGGUCCUGGAUGUGCAACUUCAGAAUACCUAGUCACAGGUCACAUGCUUGCCUAUACCUGGCCUCACUCCUAUUCGGCUUGCAUAAUCACCUAUCCCCCUGAUGCUUUUCUUUCCCUAAUGAAUUUACACAUUUUAAAUCUGGAUUUCAAAAUUUUUUUUGUCAAAAUAAUUCCGGUUUUCCAAAAAUUUUGUCCUUAGGAGUUUCUUGGUUAAUAAAAUCCAGAUUUUAAUAAACCUGCUGCCAUUUUCUUUUCCGACAUGCAUCUUCUUAUUUUCUCUGAUUUUCUCGUUUUUUAAAUAAGCAUGAAUAAACUUCAUGAUUCCCAAUGGAAUUCAUAGAAUUAAAUCAUGCAAAAGUAAAUUGGGCCUUGGUGGGGGCCCAACAUCCAUGAUACUCCUUUUACAUUGAUUCUAAUAAGAUAAUUGUUUGAUGAUUGAUUGAUUUUGAUUCCUCUCUAUGAUAUACAUGAGUUUGUUUUAUACUUAUUGUCGAGCUAACCUUGUAUUCCAUAGAGGCGUUGAUGCUUGCUAACCAGGUACGCUCUCUCUAACCUCCAAUUUCGAAAUUCCAUGAAUUUGUAUGUUAUUGAGGACUAUAACCAUGUUUGAUAGUAUCUUUGGAUUCCUUGAUGUUUGUUUGAUUUGCUCUGAUAAAAAUAUAUGUUGUGUGCUUUAUUUCUGAGCUAACUUUGAUGUCUUAUGAUAGCGCUUGACAAGCAGUCCAGGUACACACCCUAAUUCUCCUUUAUGAUUGUGAUUUGAUUUCUUAUUUUGCAUGCUAGUUUAGAAAUCACCUUAGCCUACUUAGGUAUUCAUAAUCAACUGAUUAAUUGCUAUAUUUCCCUCAACUUAGCCAGUAGAGACCUCCCAAGCAUCCAACCCCUUUUUAACGAAACAAUAACUAAACUUGAAGUUGAAUUGAGCCGCCCUGGAAAGCUAAUUGUUGCUGAUGUUGAAGGAAAGUUAUGCAUGAUCAUGGAAAUCCCUCAAGUCUUUGAUCAGACCAAUAAAGAGCCUCUUGAUGAUGUGUACCUGGUGUUGGAAGUAUCUUCGAAAACAGAGUUCCUGACAUUCCCCAGAAGUAAAUGAGCAGUGAUCAAAAUAUCUCUGAAGAUCAAAAUCUUGGAUAGUCACCAUGGAAGCAUUCUGAAUGCAUUCAACUGCCAUGUGGUUAUUAUCUGAGUUGGCAUUGACAGCCACGGAGUUGCUCUGCAUGCAGUGUAGAAAGGUGUAUUGAUUGGCACCAACGAUCCUUACAAAAGAGCGGCACGCAAUCCACCAGAAAAGGAAGUCAUGAUCAUAACAGUGGAAAAGACCAACCAUGUUUCUUAAAUGAAGAAGAUUUGCACCUCAGCUAUCAGCUUCUGUUUGUGGAAAACUGAGGAUAAACCCCAAGCAGCCUGAAUAUUAAGAAAAACAUAAGCACUUUGAAAUUUUACAGUGGGGAUAUUGAAAUAAGGUCUUUGCUAGAACUUGAAAUGGUGGGAGUCAUGACACUGCUACUGUUAUUGGUUGUGGGAGGAACAUUAGUGGGUUGCUGAAGCAUGCAAUUUGGAACUCCCAUGCUCAUGCUGAUUCCAUGAAGAAACAACUUGGUUUCGUAUGGCAUUAGCAAUGCAACCUACAGAAAAGAAUAUUUGAACUGAGAUUCCAAGCUGCAAUGACUAUGCUCCGAUCUCUACAUUUCUUUCUUUGUGGGUGAGAAUAGUGUAAUUUCCAUUUCUGGUCUUUUCUUGUGAUCUCGGCUUCUUUGGCAAUCAUUUCUAAGCAUAUCACUGGAUUUUUCAGGUUUCUCGGAAACAAGAGAAGUUUAUGAGGAAGUACUUCUUAUCUAAGUUUACUUCGUAUUCCCUUUUGUCUGCUAUAUCGCAAUUUUCAUUAUCUCUAUUAUGUGUUGGUAUUAUUUGUUCAUUUGUGUUAUUUUUUGUGCGCAUUUGUGUUUUGUUUGUUGUUUGUGAUUUCUUUGAUUUUGGGUGAGAAGUUCUUGAUUUCCUUUUCGUAGCAUUUUUCCAAGGAAUGUUAGCUUCCUUUUCUCGUCUUUUCAUUUAAUGUCGGUUUCUUAGCCCACAAUUUAUAAUCGUAUAACUUCAUUUUUUGAGGUUAUUCGGGAGCAGGUGAAGUGUAUGAAGAAAUAAUUUUUUGGUAAGUUUCAUUCGAAUUCUCCCAUAUCACAUCGCUCGUUAUGUUUGGGUAUUAUUUUUUGAAUUUAUGUAUACGUUAUAUAAUUUAUUUAGAAUAUUUUGAUUUCUGUGUUUGGUUGUGGGUUUUAUGUGUGGCUUUUUAGUUGUCAUUUAUUUGAUUGUUUGUGAGAAGUAUUAGAUAUCCUUUGAACAGUGUUUUUCCUUGGGAUGUUAUUUUUAUUUUCUCCUCUUUUCAUCUGAUCUCAGUGUCUUGUCCAACCAUUAAUAAGCAUAUAAGUGGAUUUUUAAUGAUUCUCAGGAGAAGGAGAAGUGUGUGAGGAAAGUCUUCUUAGAUAGGUUUUCUUCGUAUUCCCUAUUCUUUCAUAUAUCACAUUGUUCAAUAUAUCUGUUAUGUUUGGGUAUGAUUUGUUGACUUGAUCUAUGCAUUAUUGAAUUAAGUUCGAAUAUGUUCAUUAUGUUUUGGUGUGUGCGCUUUACGUUUCAUUUUUUAUUUCUCAAUUCUUUCUUUGUGGGUGAGAAUAGUGUAAUUUGUAUUUCUGGUAUUUUCAAGUGAUCUCGGCUUCUUCGGCAAGCAUUUCUAAGCAAAUCACUGGACUUUUCAGGUUUCUCGGAAGCAAGAGAAGUUUAUGAGGAAGUACUUCUUAUCAAAGUUUACUUCGUAUUCCCUUCUUUCUGCUAUAUCACAAUUUUCAUUAUCUCUGUUAUGUGGUUGUAUUAUUUGUUGAUUUGUGUUAUUUUUUGUGUGCAUUUGUGUUUUGUUUGUUGUUUGUGAUUUCUUUGAUUUUGGGUGAGAAGUUGUUGAUUUCCUUUUUGUAGCAUUUUUCCAUGGAAUGUUAGUUUCCUUUUCUCGUCUUUUCAUUUAAUGUCGGUUUCUAAACCCACAAUUUAUAACCGUAUAACUUCAUUUUUUCAGGUUAUUCGGGAGCAGGUGAAGUGUAUGAAGAAAUACUUUUUUGGUAAGUUUCAUUCGAAUUCUCCCAUCUCACAUCGCUCGUUAUGUUUGUUGUUAUGUUUGGGUAUUAUUUUUUGACUUUAUAUAUGCGUUAUAGAAUUUAUUUAGAAUAUUUUGAUUUCUGUGUUUGGUUGUGGGUUUUAUGUGUGGCUUUUUAUUUGUCAUUUAUUUGAUUGUUUGUGUGAAGUAUUAGAUUUCCUUUGAACUGUGUUUUUCCUUGGGUUGUUAUUUUUAUUUUCUCGUCUUUUCAUCUGAUCUCCGUGUCUUGUCCAACCAUUAAUAAGCAUAUAAGUGGAUUUUUCAGGAUUCUCGGGAGCAGGAGAAAUGUGUGAGGAAAGUCUUCUUAGAUAAGUUUUCUUCGUAUUCCUUGUUUUUUCAUAUAUCUGUUAUGUUUGGGUAUGAUUUGUUGAGUUGAUCUAUGCAUUAUUGAAUUAAGUUCGAAUAUGUUCAUUAUGUUUUGGUUUGUGUGCUUUGCAUUUUAUUUGUUAUUUCUCAUUUCUUUCUUUGUGGGUGAGAAUAGUGUAAUUUGUAUUUCUGGUCUUUUCAUGUGAUCUCGGCUUCUUUGGCAACCAUUUCUAAGCAAAUCACUGGACUUUUUAGGUUUCUCGGAAGCAAGAGAAGUUUAUGAGGAAGUACUUCUUAUCUAAGUUUACUUCGUAUUCCCUUUUUUCUGCUAUAUCGCAAUUUUCAUUAUCUCUAUUAUGUGUUGGUAUUAUUUGUUGAUUUGUGUAAUUAUUUGUGCACAUUUGUGUUUUGUUUGUUAUUUGUGAUUUCUUUGAUUAUGGGUGAGAAGUUGUUGAUUGCCUUUUUGUAGCAUUUUUCCAUUGAAUGUUAGUUUCCUUUUCUCGUCUUUUCAUUUAAUGUCGGUUUCUAAGCCCACAAUUUAUAACCGUAUAACUUCAUUUUUUCAGGUUAUUCGGGAGCAGGUGAAGUGUAUGAAGAAAUACUUUUUUGGUAAGUUUCAUUCGAAUUCUCCCAUCUCACAUCGCUCGUUAUGUUUGGGUAUUAUUUUUUGACUUUAUGUAUGCGUUAUAGAAUUUAUUUAGAAUAUUUUGAUUUCUGUGUUUGGUUGUGGGUUUUAUGUGUGGCUUUUUAUUUGUCAUUUAUUUGAUUGUUUGUGUGAAGUAUUAGAUUUCCUUUGAACUGUGUUUUUCCUUGGGAUGUUAUUUUUAUUUUCUCGUCUUUUCAUCUGAUCUCGGUGUCUUGUCCAACCAUUAAUAAGCAUAUAAGUGGAUUUUUCAGGAUUCUCGGGAGCAGGAGAAGUGUGUGAGGAAAGUCUUCUUACAUAAGUUUUCUUCGUAUUCCCUGUUCUUUCAUAUAUCGCAUUGUUCAAUAUAUCUGUUAUGUUUGGGUAUGAUUUGUUGACUUGAUCUAUGCAUUAUUGAAUUAAGUUCGAAUAUGUUCAUUAUGUUUUGGUUCGUGUGCUUUGCGUUUCAUUUUUUAUUUCUCAUUUCUUUCUUUGUGGGUGAGAAUAGUGUAAUAUCCAUUUCUGGUCUUUUCUUGUGAUCUCGGCUUCUUUGGCAAUCAUUUCUAAGCAUAUCACUGGAUUUUUCAGGUUUCUCAGAAGCAAGAGAAGUUUGUGAGGAAGUACUUCUUAUUUAUGUUUACUUCGUAUUCCCUUUUUUCUGCUAUAUCGCAAUUUUCAUUAUCUCUGUUAUGUGUUGGUAUUAUUUGUUGAUUUGUGUUAUUUUUUGUGCGCAUUUGUGUUUUGUUUGUUGUUUGUGAUUUCUUUGAUUUUGGGUGAGAAGUUGUUGAUUUCCUUUUUGUAAAUUUUUUCCAUGGAAUGUUAGUUUCCUUUUCUCGUCUUUUCAUUUAAUGUCGGUUUCUUAGCCCACAAUUUAUAAUCGUAUAACUUCAUUUUUUCAGGUUAUUCGGGAGUAGGUGAAGUGUAUGAAGAAAUACUUUUUUGGUAAGUUUCAUUCGAAUUCUCCCAUAUCACAUCGCUCGUUACGUUUGUUCUGUUUGGGUAUUAUUUUUUUACUUUAUGUAUACGUUAUAUAAUUUAUUUAGAAUAUUUUGAUUUCUGUGUUUGGUUGUGGGUUUUAUGUAUGGCUUUUUAUUUGUCAUUUAUUUGAUUGUUUGUGUGAAGUAUUAGAUUUCCUUUGAACUGUGUUUUUCCUUGGGAUGUAAGUUUUAUUUUCUCGUCUUUUCAUCUGAUCCCGGUGUCUUGUCCCACCAUUAAUAAGCAUAUAAUUGGAUUUUUCAGGAUUCUCAGGAGCAGGAGAAUUGUGUGAGGAAAGUCUUAUUAGAUAAGUUUUCUUCGUAUUCCCUGUUCUUUCAUAUAUCGCAUUGGUCAAUCUAUCUGUUAUGUUUGGGUAUGAUUUGUUGACUUGAUCUAUGCAUUAUUGAAUUCAUUUCGAAUAUGUUCAUUAUAUUUUGGUUUGUGCACAUUACGUUUCAUUUUUUAUUUCUCAUUUCUUUGUGGGUGAGAAUAGUGUAAUUUGUAUUUCUGGUCUUUUCAUGUGAUCUCGGCUUCUUUGGCAACCAUUUCUAAGCAAAUCACUGGACUUUUCAGGUUUCUCGGAAGCAAGAGAAGUUUAUGAGGAAGUACUUCUUAUCUAAGUUUACUUCGUAUUCCCUUUUUUCUACUAUAUCGCAAUUUUCAUUAUCUCUGUUAUGUGUUGGUAUUAUUUGUUGAUUUGUGUUAUUUUUUGUGCGCAUUUGUGUUUUGUUUGUUGUUUGUGAUUUCUUUGAUUAUGGGUGAGAAGUUGUUGAUUUCCUUUUUGUAGCAUUUUUCCAUGGAAUGUUAGUUUCCUUUUCUCGUCUUUUCGUUUAAUGUCGGUUUCUAAGCCCACAGUUUAUAACCGUAUAACUUCAUUUUUUUAGGUUAUUCGGGAGCAAGUGAAGUGUCUGAAGAAAUACUUUUUUAGUAAGUUUCAUUCGAAUUCUCCCAUAUCACAUCGCUCAUUAUGUUUGUUAUGUUUGGGUAUUAUUUUUUGACUUUAUGUAUGCGUUAUAGAAUUUAUUUAGAAUAUUUUUAUUUCUGUGUUUGGUUGUGGGUUUUAUGUGUGGCUUUUUAUUUGUCAUUUAUUUGAUUAUUUGUGUGAAGUAUUAGAUUUCCUUUGAAUUGUGUUUUUCCUUGAGAUAUUAUUUUUAUUUUCUCGUCUUUUGAUCUGAUCUUCGUGUCUUGUCCAACCAUUAAUAAGGAUAUAAGUGGAUUUUUCAGGAUUCUCGGGAGCAGGAGAAGUGUGUGAGGAAAGUCUUCUUAGAUAAGUUUUCUUCGUAUUCCUUGUUCUUUCAUAUAUCGCAUUGUUCAAUAUAUCUGUUAUGUUUGGAUAUGAUUUGUUGACUUGAUCUAUGCAUUAUUGAAUUAAGUUCGAAUAUGUGCAUUAUGUUUUGGUUUGUGUGGUUUGCGUUUGAUUUUUUAUUUCUCAUUUCUUUCUUUGUGGGUGAGAAUAGUGUAAUUUCCAUUUCUGGUCUUUUCUUGUGAUCUCGGCUUCUUUGGCAAUCAUUUCUAAGCAUAUCACUGGAUUUUUCAGGUUUCUCGGAAGCAAGAGAAGUUUAUGAGGUAGUACUUCUUAUCUAAGUUUACUUCGUAUUCCCUUUUUUCUGCUAUAUCGCAAUUUUCAUUAUCUCUGUUAUGUGUUGGUAUUAUUUGUUGAUUUGUGUUAUUUUUUGUGUGCAUUUGUGUUUUGUUUGUUGUUUGUGAUUUCUUUGAUUAUGGGUGAGAAGUUUUUGAUUUCCUUUUUGUAGCAUUUUUCAAUGGAAUGUUAGUUUCCUUGUCUCGUCUUUUCAUAUAAUGUCGGUUUCUAAGCCCACAAUUUAUAAUCGUAUAACUUCAUUUUUUCAGGUUAUUCGGGAGCAGGUGAAGUGUAUGAUGAAAUAAUUUUUUGGUAAGUUUCAUUCAAAUUCUCCCAUAUCACAUCGCUCGUUAUGUUUGGGUAUUAUUUUUUGACUUUAUGUAUACGUUAUUUAAUUUAUUUCGAAUAUUUUAAUUUAUGUUUUUGGUUGUUGGUUUUAUGUGUGGCUUUUUAGUUUUCAUUUAUUUGAUUGUUUGUGAGAAGUAUUAGAUUUCCUUUGAACUGUGUUUUUCCUUAGGAUGUUAUUAUUAUUUUUUCGUCUUUUCAUCUGAUUUCAGUGUCUUGUCCAACCAUUAAUAAGCAUAUAAGUGGAUUUUUCAGGAUUCUCAGGAGCAGGAGAAGUGUGUGAGGAAAGUCUUCUUAGAUAUGUUUUCUUCGUAUUCUCUAUUCUUUCAUAUAUCGCAUUGUUCAAUAUACCUGUUAUGUUUGGGUAUGAUUUGUUGAGUUGAUCUAUGCAUUAUUGAAUUCAGUUCGAAUAUGUUCAUUAUGUUUUGGUGUGUGUGCUUUACGUUUCAUUUUUUAUUUCUCAUUUCUUUCUUUGUGGGUGAGAAUAGUGUAAUUUAUAUUUCUGGUCUUUUCAUGUGAUCUCGGCUUCUUUGGCAACCAUUUCUAAGCAAAUCACUGGACUUUUCAGGUUUCUCGGAAGCAAGAGAAGUUUAUGAGGAAGUACUUCUGAUCUAUGUUUACUUCGUAUUCCCUUUUUUCUACUAUAUCGCAAUUUUCAUUAUCUCUGUUAUGCGUUCGUAUUAUUUGUUUAUUUGUGUUAUUUUUUGUGCGCAUUUGUAUUUUUUUGUUGUUUGUGAUUUCUUUUAUUAUGGGUGAUAAGUUGUUGAUUUCCUUUUUCCAGCAUUUUUCCAUGGAAUGUUAGUUUCCUUUUCUCGUCUUUUCAUUUAAUGUCGGUUUCUAAGCCCACAAUUUAUAACCGUAUAACUUCAUUUUUUCAGGUUAUUCGGGAGCAGGCGAAGUAUAUGAAGAAAUACUUUUUUGGUAAGUUUCAUUCGAAUUCUCCCAUAUCACAUCGCUCGCUAUGUUUGUUAUGUUUGGGUAUUAUUUUUUGACUUUAUGUAUGCGUUAUAGAAUUUAUUUAGAAUAUUUUGAUUUCUGUGCUUGGUUGUGGGUUUUAUGUGUGGCUUUUUAUUUGUCAUUUAUUUGAUUGUUUGUGUGAAGUAUUAGAUUUCCUUUGAACUGUGUUUUUCCUUAGGAUGUUAUUUUGAUUUUCUCGUCUUUUCAUCUGAUCUCCGUUGCUUGUCCAACCAUUAAUAAGCAUAUAAGUGGAUUUUUCAGGAUUCUCGGGAGCAGGAGAACUGUGUGAGGAAAAUCUUCUUAGAUAAGUUUUCUUCGUAUUCCCUGUUCUUUCAUAUAUCGCAUUGUUCAAUAUAUCUGUUAUGUUUGGGUAUGAUUUGUUGACUUGAUAUAUGCAUUAUUGAAUUAAGUUUGAAUAUGUUCAUUAUGUUUUGGUUUGUGUUCUUUGCGUUUUAUUUUUUAUUUCUCAUUUCUUUCUUUGUGGGUGAGAAUUGUGUAAUUUCCAUUUCUGGUCUUUUCUUGUGAUCUCGGCUUGUUUGGCAAUCAUUUCUAAGCAUAUCACUGGAUUUUUAAGGUUUCUCGGAAGCAAGAGAAGUUUAUGAGGAAGUACUUCUUAUCUAAGUUUACUUUGUAUUCCCUUUUGUCUGUUAUAUCGCAAUUUUCAUUAUCUCUGUUAUGUGUUGGUAUUAUUUCUUGAUUUGUGUUAUUUAUUGUGCGCAUUUGUGUUUUAUUUGUUGUUUGUGAUUUCUUUGAUUUUGGGUGAGAAGUUCAUGAUUUCCUUGUUGAAGCAUUUUUCCAAGGAAUGUUAGUUUCCUUUUCUCGUCUUUUCAUUUAAUGUCGGUUUCUUAGCCCACAAUUUAUAACCGUAUAACUUCAUUUUUUCAGGUUAUUCGUGAGCAGGCGAAGUAUAUGAAGAAAUACUUUUUUGGUAAGUUUCAUUCGAAUUCUCCCAUAUCACAUCGCUCGCUAUGUUUGUUAUGUUUGGGUAUUAUUUUUUGACUUUAUGUAUGCGUUAUAGAAUUUAUUUAGAAUAUUUUGAUUUCUGUGCUUGGUUGUGGGUUUUAUGUGUGGCUUUUUAUUUGUCAUUUAUUUGAUUGUUUGUGUGAAGUAUUAGAUUUCCUUUGAACUGUGUUUUUCCUUAGGAUGUUAUUUUGAUUUUCUCGUCUUUUCAUCUGAUCUCCGUUGCUUGUCCAACCAUUAAUAAGCAUAUAAGUGGAUUUUUCAGGAUUCUCGGGAGCAGGAGAACUGUGUGAGGAAAAUCUUCUUAGAUAAGUUUUCUUCGUAUUCCCUGUUCUUUCAUAUAUCGCAUUGUUCAAUAUAUCUGUUAUGUUUGGGUAUGAUUUGUUGACUUGAUAUAUGCAUUAUUGAAUUAAGUUUGAAUAUGUUCAUUAUGUUUUGGUUUGUGUUCUUUGCGUUUGAUUUUUUAUUUCUCAUUUCUUUCUUUGUGGGUGAGAAUUGUGUAAUUUCCAUUUCUGGUCUUUUCUUGUGAUCUCGGCUUGUUUGGCAAUCAUUUCUAAGCAUAUCACUGGAUUUUUAAGGUUUCUCGGAAGCAAGAGAAGUUUAUGAGGAAGUACUUCUUAUCUAAGUUUACUUUGUAUUCCCUUUUGUCUGUUAUAUCGCAAUUUUCAUUAUCUCUGUUAUGUGUUGGUAUUAUUUCUUGAUUUGUGUUAUUUAUUGUGCGCAUUUGUGUUUUAUUUGUUGUUUGUGAUUUCUUUGAUUUUGGGUGAGAAGUUCAUGAUUUCCUUGUUGAAGCAUUUUUCCAAGGAAUGUUAGUUUCCUUUUCUCGUCUUUUCAUUUAAUGUCGGUUUCUUAGCCCACAAUUUAUAACCGUAUAACUUCAUUUUUUCAGGUUAUUCGGGAGCAGGUGAAGUGUAUGAAAAAAUAAUUUUUUGGUAAGUUUCAUUCAAAUUCUCCCAUAUCACAUCGCUCGUUAUGUUUAGGUAUUAUUUUUUGACUUUAUGUAUAUGUUAUAUAAUUUAUUUAGAAUAUUUUGAUUUCUGUGUUUAGUUGUGGGUUUUAUGUGUGGUUUUUAGUUGUCAUUUAUUUGAUUGUUUAUGAGAACUAUUAGAUUUCCUGUGAACUAUGUUUUUCCUUGGAAUGUUAUUUUUAUUUUCACGUCUUUUCAUCUGAUCUCAGUGUCUUGUCCAACCCAUAAUAAGCAUAUAAGUGGAUUUUUCAGGAUUCUCGGGAGCAGGAGAAGUGUGUGAGGAAAGUCUUCUUACAUAAGUUUUCUUCGUAUUCCCUGUUCUUUCCUAUAUCGCAUUGUUCAAUAUAUCUGUUCUGUUUAAGUAUGAUUUGUUGACUUGAUAUAUGCAUUAUUGAAUUAAGUUUGAAUAUGUUCAUUAUGUUUUGGUGUGUGCGCUUUACGUUUCAUUUUUUAUUUCUCAAUUCUUUCUUUGUGGGUGAGAUUAGUGUGAUUUGUAUUUCUGGUCUUUUCAUGUGAUCUCGGCUUCUUUGGCAACCAUUUGUAAGCAAAUCACUGGACUUUUCAGGUUUCUCGGAAGCAAGAGAAGUUUAUGAGCAAGUACUUCUUAUCUAAGUUUACUUCGUAUUCUCUUCUUUCUGCUAUAUUGCAAUUUUCAUUAUCUCUAGUAUGUGUUGAUAUUAUUUGUUGAUUUGUGUUAUUUUUUGUGCGCAUUUGUGUAUUGUUUGUUGUUUGUGAUUUCUUUGAUUUUGGGUGAGAAGUUAUUGAUUUCCUUUUUGUAGCAUUUUUCCAUGGAAUGUUAGUUUCUUUUCCUCGUCUUUUCAUUUAAUGCCGGUUUCUUAGCCCACAAUUUAUAACCGUAUAACUUCAUUUUUUCAGGUUAUUCGGGAGCAGGUGAAGUGUAUGAAGAAAUAAUUUUUUGGUAGGUUUCAUUCGAAUUCUCCCAUAUCACAUCGCUCGUUAUGUAUGGGUAUUAUUUUUUGACUUUAUGUAUACAUUAUAUAAAUUAUUUAGAAUAUUUUGAUUUCUGUGUUUGGUUGUGGGUUUUAUGUGUUGUUUUUUAUUUGUCAUUUAUUUGAUUGUUUGUGUGAAGUAUUAGAUUUCCUUUGAACUAUGUUUUUCCUUGGGAUGUUAUUUUUAUUUUCUCGUCUUUUCAUCUGAUAUCGGUGUCUUGUCCAACCAUUAAUAAGCAUAUAAGUGGAUUUUUCAGGAUUCUCGGGAGCAAGAGAAGUGUGUGAGGAAAGUCUUCUUACAAAAGUUUUCUUCGUAUUCCCUGUUCUUUCAUAUAUCGCAUUGUUCAAUAUAUCUGUUAUGUUUGGGUAUGAUUUGUUGACUUGAUCUAUGUAUUAUUGAAUUAAGUUCGAAUAUGUUCAUUAUGUUUUGGUUUGUGUGCUUUGCGUUUUAUUUUUUAUUUCUCAUUUCUUUCUUUGUGGGUGAGAAUAGGGUAAUAUCCAUUUCUGGUCUUUUCUUGUGAUCUCGGCUUCUUUUUCAAUCAUUUCUAAGCAUAUCACUAGAUUUUUCAGGUUUCUCGGAAGCAAGAUAAGUUUAUGAGGAAGUACUUCUUAUCUAAGUUUACUUCGUAUUCCCUUUUUUUUGCUAUAUCGCAAUUUUCAUUAUCUCUGUUAUGUGUUGGUAUUAUUUGUUUAUUUGUGUUAUUUUUUGUGCGCAUUUGUGUUUUGUUUUUGUUUGUGAUUUCUUUGAUUAUGGGUGAGAAGUUGUUGAUUUCCUUUUUGUAGCAUUUUUCCAUGGAAUGUUAGUUUCCUUCCCUCGUCUUUUCAUUUAAUGGCGUUUUCUAAGCCCACAAUUUAUCACCGUAUAACUUCAUUUUUUCAGGUUAUUCGGGAGCAGGUGAAGUGUAUGAAGAAAUACUUUUUUGGUAAGUUUCAUUCGAAUUCAACCAUCUCACAUCGCUCGUUAUGUUUGUUAUGUUUGGGUAUUAUUUGUUGACUUUAUGUAAGCGUUAUAGAAUUUAUUUAGAAUAUUUUGAUUUCUGUGUUUGGUUUUGGGUUUUAUGUGUGGCUUUUUAUUUGUCAUUUAUUUGAUUGUUUGUGUGAAGUAUUAGAUUUCCUUUGAACUGUGUUUUUCCUUGGGAUGUUAUUUUUAUUUUCUCGUCUUUUCAUCUGAUCUCCGUGUCUUGUCCAACCAUUAAUAAGCAUAUAAGUGGAUUUUUCAGGAUUCUCGGGAGCGGGAGAAGUGUGUGAGGAAAGUCUUCCUAGAUAAGUUUUCUUCGUAUUCCCUGUUCUUUCAUAUAUCGCAUUCUUCAAUAUAUCUGUUAUGUUUGGGUAUGAUUUGUUGACUUGAUCUAUGCAUUAAUGAAUUAAUUUCGGAUAUGUGCAAUAUGUUUUGGGUUUGUGUAACUUGCGUUUUAGUUUUUAUUUNNNNNNNNNNNNNNNNNNNNNNNNNNNNNNNNNNNNNNNNNNNNNNNNNNNNNNNNNNNNNNNNNNNNNNNNNNNNNNNNNNNNNNNNNNNNNNNNNNNNUAUGUGCAAUAUGUUUUGGUUUGUGUGCUUUGCGUUUUAUUUUUUAUUUCUCAUUUCUUUCUUUGUGGGUGAGAAUAGUGUUAUUUCCAUUUCUGGUCUUUUCUUGUGAUCUCGGCUUCUUUGGCAAUCAUUUCUAAGCAUAUCACUGGAUUUUUCAGGUUUCUCGGAAGCAAGAGAAGUUUAUGAGGAAGUACUUCUUAUCUAAGUUUACUUCGUAUUCCCUUUUUUCUGCUAUAUCGCAAUUUUCAUUAUCUCUGUUAUGUUUUGUUAUUAUUUGUUGAUUUGUGUUAUUUUUUGUGCGCAUUUGUGUUUUGUUUGUUGUUUGUGAUUUCUUUGAUUAUGGGUGAGAAGUUCUUGAUUUCCUUUUUGUAGCAUUUGUCCAUGGCAUGUUAGUUUCCUUUUCUCGUGUUUUCAUUUAAAGUCGGUUUCUAAACCCACAAUUUGUAACCGUAUAACUUCAUUUUUUCAGGUUAUUCAGGAGCAGGCGAAGUGUAUGAAGAAAUACUUUUUUGGUAAGUUUCAUUCGAAUUCUCCCAUCUCACAUCGCUCAUUAUGUUUGUUAUGUUUGGGUAUUAUUUUUAGACUUUAUGUAUGCGUUAUAGAAUUUAUUUAGAAUAUUUUGAUUUCUGUGUUUGGUUGUGGGUUUUAUGUGUGGCUUUUUAUUUGUCAUUUAUUUGAUUGUUUGUGUGAAGUAUUAGAUUUCCUUUGAACUGUGUUUUUCCUUGCGAUGUUAUUUUUAUUUUCUCGUCUUUUCAUCUGAUCUCCGUUUCUUGUCCAACCAUUAAUAAGCAUAUAAGUGGAUUUUUCAGGAUUCUCGAGAGCAGGAGAAGUGUGUGAGGAAAGUCUUCUUAGAUAAGUUUUCUUCGUAUUCCCUGUUCUUUCAUAUAUCGCAUUGUUCAAUAUAUCUGUUAUGUUUGGGUAUGAUUUGUUGACUUGAUCUAUGCAUUAUUGAAUUAAGUUCGAAUAUGUUCAUUAUGUUUUUGUUUGUACGAUUUACGUUUCAUUUUUUAUUUCUCAUUUCUUUCUUUGUGGGUGAGAAUAGUGUAAUUUGUAUUUCUGGUCUUUGCAUGUGAUCUCGGCUUCUUUGGCAAGCAUUUCUAAGCAAUCACUAGACUUUUCAGGUUUCUCGGAAGCAAGAGAAGUUUAUGAGGAAGUACUUCUUAUCUAGGUUUACUUCGUAUUCCCUUUUUUCUUCUAUUUCGCAAUUUUCAUUAUCUCUGUUAUGUGUUGGUAUUAUUUGUUGAUUUGUGUUAUUUUUUGUGCGCAUUUGUGUUUUGUUUGUUGUUUGUGAUUUCUUUGAUUUUGGGUGAGAAGUUGUUGAUUUCCUUUUUGUAAAUUUUUUCCAUGGAAUGUUAGUUUCCUUUUCUCGUCUUUUCAUUUAAUGUCGGUUUCUUAGCCCACAAUUUAUAAUCGUAUAACUUCAUUUUUUCAGGUUAUUCGGGAGUAGGUGAAGUGUAUGAAGAAAUACUUUUUUGGUAAGUUUCAUUCGAAUUCUCCCAUAUCACAUCGCUCGUUACGUUUGUUAUGUUUGGGUAUUAUAUUUUUACUUUAUGUAUACGUUAUAUAAUUUAUUUAGAAUAUUUUGAUUUCUGUGUUUGGUUGUGGGUUUUAUGUGUGGCUUUUUAUUUGUCAUUUAUUUGAUUGUUUGUUUGAAGUAUUAGAUUUCCUUUGAACUGUGUUUUUCCUUGGGAUGUUAGUUUUAUUUUCUCGUCUUUUCAUAUGAUCCCGGUGUCUUGUCCCACCAUUAAUAAGCAUAUAAUUGGAUUUUUCAGGAUUCUCAGGAGCAGGAGAAUUGUGUGAGGAAAGUCUUCUUAGAUAAGUUUUCUUCGUAUUCCCUGUUCUUUCAUAUAUCGCAUUGGUCAAUAUAUCUAUUAUGUUUGGGUAUGAUUUGUUGACUUGAUCUAUGCAUUAUUGAAUUCAUUUCGAAUAUGUUCAUUAUAUUUUGGUUUGUGCACAUUACGUUUCAUUUUUUAUUUCUCAUUUCUUUCUUUGUGGGUGAGAAUAGUGUAAUUUGUAUUUUUGGUCUUUUCAUGUGAUCUCGGCUUCUUUGGCAAGCAUUUCUAAGCAAAUCACUGGACUUUUCAGGUUUCUCGGAAGCAAGAGAAGUUUAUGAGGAAGUACUUCUUAUCUAAGUUUACUUCGUAUUCCCUUUUUUCUACUAUAUCGCAAUUUUCAUUAUCUCUGUUAUGUGUUGGUAUUGUUUGUUAUUUUGUGUUAUUUUUUGUGCGCAUUUGUGUUUUGUUUGUUGUUUGUGAUUUCUUUGAUUAUGGGUGAGAAGUUGUUGAUUUCCUUUUAUUGGAAUUUUUCCAUGGAAUAUUAGUUUCCUUUUCUCGUCUUUUCAUUUAAUGUCGGUUUUGCAGCCCACAAUUUAUAACCGUAUAACUUCAUUUUUUCAGGUUAUUCGAGAGCAGGUGAAGUGUAUGAAGAAAUACUUUUUUGGUAAGUUUCAUUCGAAUUCUCCCAUCUCACAUCGCUCGUUAUGUUUGUUAAGUUUGGGUAUUAUUUUUUGACUUUAUGUAUGCGUUAUAUAAUUUAUUUUGAAUAUUUUUAUUUCUGUGUUUGGUUGUGGGUUUUAUGUGUGGUUAUUUGUCAUUUAUUUGAUUGUUUGUUUGAAGUAUUAGAUUUCCUUUGAACUGGGUUUUUCCAUGGGAUGUUAUUUUGAUUUUCUCGUCUUUUCAUCUGAUCUCCGUUUCUUGUCCCACCAUUAAUAUGAAUAUAAGUGUAUUUUUCAGGAUUCUCGGGAGCAGGAGAAGUGUGUGAGGAAAGUCUUCUUACAUAAGUUUUCUUCGUAUUCCCUGUUCUUUCAUAUAUCGCAUUGUUCAAUAUAUCUGUUAUGUUUGGGUAUGAUUUGUUUACUUGAUCUAUGCAUUAUUGAAUUCAGUUCGAAUAUGUUCAUUAUGUUUUGGUUUGUGCGAUUUACGUUUCAUUUUUUAUUUCUCAUUUCUUUCUUUGUGGGUGACAAUAGUGUAAUUUGUAUUUCUGGUCUUUUCAUGUCAUCUCGGCUUCUUUGCCAAACAUUUCUAAGCAAAUCACUGGACUUUUUAGGUUUCUCGGAAGCAAGAGAAGUUUAUGAGGAAGUACUUCUUAUCUAGGUUUACUUCGUAUUCCCUUUUUUCUUCUAUAUCGCAAUUUUCAUUAUCUCUGUUAUGUGUUGGUAUUAUUUGUUUAUUUGUGUUAUUUUUUGUGCGCAUUUGUGUUUUCUUUGUUGUUUGUGAUUUCUUUGAUUUUGGAUGAGAAGUUCUUGAUUUCCUUUUUGUAGCAUUUUUCCAUGGAAUGUUAGUUUCCUUGUCUCGUCUUUUCAUUUAAUGUCGGUUUCUUAGCCCACAAUUUAUAAUCGUAUAACUUCAUUUUUUCAGGUUAUUCGGGAGUAGGUGAAGUGUAUGAAGAAAUACUUUUUUGGUAAGUUUCAUUCGAAUUCUCCCAUAUCACAUCGCUCGUUACGUUUGUUCUGUUUGGGUAUUAUUUUUUGACUUUAUGUAUACGUUAUAUAAUUUAUUUAGAAUAUUUUGAUUUGUGUGUUUGGUUGUGGGUUUUAUGUGUGGCUUUUUAUUUGUCAUUUAUUUGAUUGUUUGUUUGAAGUAUUAGAUUUCCUUUGAACUGGGUUUUUCUAUGGGAUGUUAUUUUAAUUUUCUCGUCUUUUCAUCUGAUCUCGGUGUCUUGUCCCACCAUUAAUAUGCAUAUAAGUGUAUUUUUCAGGAUUCUCGGGAGCAAGAGAAGUGUGUGAGGAAAGUCUUCUUACAUAAGUUUUCUUCGUAUUCCCUGUUCUUUCAUAUAUCGCAUUGUUCAAUAUAUCUGUUAUGUUUGGGUAUGAUUUGUUGACUUGAUCUAUGCAUUAUUGAAUUAAGUUCGAAUAUGUUCAUUAUGUUUUGGUUUGUGGGCUUUGCGUUUCAUUUUUUAUUUCUCAUUUCUUUCUUUGUGGGUGAGAAUAGUGUAAUUUCCAUUUCUGGUCUUUUCUUGUGAUCUCGGCUUUUUUGGCAAUCAUUUCUAAGCAUAUCACUGGACUUUUCAGGUUACUUAGAAGCAAGAGAAGUUUAUGAGGAAGUACUUCUUAUUUAAGUUUACUUCGUAUUCCCUUUUGUCUGCUAUAUCCCAAUUUUCAUUAUCUCUGUUAUGUGUUGGUAUUAUUUGAUCAUUUGUUUAAUUUUUUGUGCGUAUUUGUGUUUUGUUUGUUGUUUGUGAUUUCUUUGAUUUUGGAUGAGAAGUUCUUGACUUCCUUUUUGUAGCAUUUUUCCAUGGAAUGUCAGUUUCCUUUUCUCGUCUUUUCAUUUAAUGUCGGUUUCUUAGCCCACAAUUUAUAACCGUAUAACUUCAUUUUUUCAGGUUAUUCGGGAGCAGGUGAAGUGUAUGAAGAAAUACUUUUUUGGUAAGUUUCAUUCGAAUUCUCCCAUAUCACAUCGCUCGUUAUGUUUGGGUAUUAUUUUUUGACUUUAUGUAUACGUUAUAUAAUUUAUUUAGAAUAUUUUUAUUUCUGUGUUUGGUUGUGGUUUUUAUGUGUGGCUUUUUAGAUGUCAUUUAUUUGAUUGUUUGUGAGAAGUAUUAGAUUUCCUUUGAACUGUGUUUUUCCUUGGGUUGUUAUUUUUAUUUUCUCGUCUUUUCAUAUGAUGUCAGUGUCUUGUCCAACCGUUAAUAAGCAUAUAAGUGGAUUUUUCAGGAUUCUCGGGAGCAGGAGAAGUGUGUGAGGAAAGUCUUCUUAGAUAUGUUUUCUUCGUAUUCUCUGUUCUUUCAUUUAUUGCAUUGUUCAAUAUAUCUGUUAUGUUUGGGUAUGAUUUGUUGACUUGAUCCAUGCAUUAUUGAAUUAAGUUCGAAUAUGUUCAUUAUGUUUUGGUUUGUGUGCUUUGCGUUUUAUUUUUUAUUUCUCUUUUCUUUCUUUGUGAGUGAGAAUAGUGUAAUUUCCAUUUCUGGUCUUUUCUUGUGAUCUCGGCUUCUUUGGCGAUCAUUUCUAAGCAUAUCACUGGAUUUUUUAGGUUUCUCGGAAGCAAGAGAAGUUUGUGAGGAAGUACUUCUUAUCUAAGUUUUCUUCGUAUUCUCUGUUCUUUCAUUUAUUGCAUUGUUCAAUAUAUCUGUUAUGUUUGGGUCUGAUUUGUUGACUUGAUCUAUGCAUUAUUGAAUUAAGUUCGAAUAUGUUCAUUAUAUUUUGGUUUGUGUGCUUUUCGUUUUAUUUUUUAUUUCUCAUUUCUUUCUUUGUGGGUGAGAAUAGUGUAAUUUGCAUUUCUGGUCUUUUCUUGUGAUCUCGGCUUCUUUGGCAAUUAUUUCUUAGCAUAUCACUGGAUUUUUAAGGUUUCUCGGAAGCAAGAGAAGUUUAUGAGGUAGUACUUCUUAUCUAAGUUUACUUCGUAUUCCCUUUUUUUUGCUAUAUCGCAAUUUUCAUUAUCUUAUUUAUGUGUUGGUAUUAUUUGUUGAUUUGUGUUAUUUUUUGUGUGCAUUUGUAUUUUGUUUGUUGUUUGUGAUUUCUUUGAUUAUGGGUGAGAAGUUUUUGCUUUCCUUUUUGUAGCAUUUUUCAAUGGAAUGUUAGUUUCCUUGUCUCGUCUUUUCAUAUAAUGUCGGUUUCUAAGCCCACAAUUUAUAACCGUAUAACUUCAUCUUUUCAGGUUAUUCGGGAGCAGGUGAAGUGUAUGAAGAAAUAAUUUUUUGGUAAGUUUCAUUCGAAUUCUCCCAUAUCACAUCGCUAGUUAUGUUUGGGUAUUAUUUUUUGACUUUAUGUAUACGUUAUUUAAUUUAUUUCGAAUAUUUUAAUUUAUAUGUUUGGUUGUUGGUUUUAUGUGUGGCUUUUUAGUUUUCAUUUAUUUGAUUGUUUGUGAGAAGUAUUAGAUUUCCUUUGAACUGCGUUUUUCCUUAGGAUGUUAUUAUUAUUUUCUUGUUUAUUCAUCUGAUUUCAGUGUCUUGUCCAACCAUUAAUAAACAUAUAAGUGGAUUUUUCAGGGUUCUCGGGAGCCGGAGAAGUGUGUGAGGAAAGUCUUCUUAGAUAAGUUUUCUUCGUAUUCUCUGUUCUUUCAUAUAUCGCAUUGUUCAAUAUACCUGUUAUGUUUGGGUAUGAUUUGUUGAGUUGAUCUAUGCAUUAUUGAAUUCAGUUCGAAUAUGUUCAUUAUGUUUUGGUGUGUGUGCUUUACGUUUCAUUUUUUAUUUCUCAUUUCUUUCUUUGUGGGUGAGAAUAGUGUAAUUUGUAUUUCUGGUCUUUUCAUGUGAUCUCGGCUUCUUUGGCAACCAUUUCUAAGCAAAUCACUGGACUUUUCAGGUUUCUCGGAAGCAAGAGAAGUUUAUGAGGAAGUACUUCUGAUCUAAGUUUACUUCGUAUUCCCUUUUUUCUACUAUAUCGCAAUUUUCAUUAUCUCUGUUAUGCAUUGGUAUUAUUUGUUGAUUUGUGUUAUUUUUUGUGCGCAUUUGUAUUUUGUUUGUUGUUUGUGAUUUCUUUGAUUAUGGGUGAUAAGUUGUUGAUUUCCUUUUUCUAGCAUUUUUCCAUGGAAUGUUAGUUUCCUUUUCUCGUCUUUUCAUUUAAUGUCGGUUUCUAAGCCCACAAUUUAUAACCGUAUAACUUCAUUUUUUCAGGUUAUUCCGGAGCAGGUGAAGUAUAUGAAGAAAUACUUUUUUGGUAAGUUUCAUUCGAAUUCUCCCAUAUCAUAUCGCUCGUUAUGUUUGUUAUGUUUGGGUAUUAUUUUUUGACUUUAUGUAUGCGUUAUAAUUUAUUUAGAAUAUUUUGAUUUCUGUGUUUGGUUGUGGGUUUUAUGUGUGGCUUUUUAGCUGUCAUUUAUUUGAUUGUUUGUGAGAAGUAUUAGAUUUCCUUUGAACUGUGUUUUUCCUUGGGAUGUUAUUUUUAUUUUCUCCUCUUUUCAUCUGAUCUCAGUGUCUUGUCCAACCAUUAAUAAGCAUAUAAGUGGAUUUUUCAGGAUUCUCGGGAGCAGGAGAACUGUGUGAGGAAAUUCUUCUUAAAUAAGUUUUCUUCGUAUUCCCUGUUCUUUCGUAUAUCGCAUUGUUCAAUAUAUCUGUUAUGUUUGGGUAUGAUUUGUUGACUUGAUCUAUGCAUUAUUGAAUUAAGUUCGAAUAUGUUCAUUAUGUUUUGGUUUGUGUUCUUUGCGUUUGAUUUUUUAUUUCUCAUUUCUUUCUUUGUGGGUGAGAAUAGUGUAAUUUCCAUUUCUGGUCUUUUCUUGUGAUCUCGGCUUGUUUGGCAAUCAUUUCUAAGCAUAUCACUGGAUUUUUCAGGUUUCUCGAAAGCAAGAGAAGUUUAUGAGGAAGUACUUCUUAUCUAAGUUUACUUCGUAUUCCCUUUUUUCUUCUAUAUCGCAAUUUUCAUUAUCUCUGUUAUGUGUUGAUAUUAUUUGUUGAUUUGUGUUAUUUUUUGUGCGCAUUUGUGUAUUGUUUGUUGUUUGUGAUUUCUUUGAUUUUGGGUGAGAAGUUCUUGAUGUUUUUUUUGUAGCAUUUUUCCAAGGAAUGUUAGUUUCCUUUCCUCGUCUUUUCAUUUAAUGCCGGUUUAUUAGCCCACAAUUUAUAACCGUAUAACUUCAUUUUUUCAGGUUAUUCGGGAGCAAGUGAAGUGUAUGAAGAAAUAAUUUUUUGGUAGGUUUCAUUCGAAUUCUCCCAUAUCACAUCGCUCGUUAUGUAUGGGUAUUAUUUUUUGACUUUAUGUAUACGUUAUAUAAUUUAUUUAGAAUAUUUUGAUUUCUGUGUUUGGUUGUGGGUUUUAUGUGUUGUUUUUUAUUUGUCAUUUAUUUGAUUGUUUGUGUGAAGUAUUAGAUUUCCUUUGAACUAUGUUUUUCCUUGGGAUGUUAUUUUUAUUUUCUCGUCUUUUCAUCUGAUAUCGGUGUCUUGUCCAACCAUUAAUAAGCAUAUAAGUGGAUUUUUCAGGAUUUUCGGGAGCAAGAGAAGUGUGUGAGGAAAGUCUUCUUAGAUAAGUUUUCUUCGUAUUCCCUGUUCUUUCAUAUAUAGCAUUCUUCAAUAUAUCUGUUAUGUUUGGAUAUGAUUUGUUGACUUGAUGUAUGCAUUAUUGAAUUAAGUUCGAAUAUGUGCAAUAUGUUUUGGUUUGUGUGCUUUGCGUUUUAUUUUUUAUUUCUCAUUUCUUUCUUUGUGGGUGAGAAUAGUGUAAUUUCCAUUUCUGGUCUUUUCUUGUGAUCUCGGCUUGUUUGGCAAUCAUUUCUAAGCAUAUCACUGGAUUUUUCAGGUUUCUCGGAAGCAAGAGAAGUUUAUGAGGAAGUACUUCUUAUCUAGGUUUACUUCGUAUUCCCUUUUUUCUACUAUAUCGCAAUUUUCAUUAUCUCUAUUAUGUGUUGGUAUUAUUUGGUGAUUUGUGUUUUGUUUUUUGUUUGUGAUUUCUUUGAUUAUGGGUGAGAAGUUGUUGAUUUCCUUUUUGUAGCAUUUCUCCAUGGAAUGUUAGUUUCCUUUUCUCGUCUUUUUAUUUAAUGUCGGUUUCUUAGCCCACAAUUUAUAACCGUAUAACUUCAUUUUUUCAGGUUAUUCGGGAGCAGCUGAAGUGUAUGAAGAAAUAAUUUUUUGGUAGGUUUCAUUCGAAUUCUCCCAUAUCACAUCGCUCGUUAUGUUUGGGUAUUAUUUUUUGACUUUAUGUAUACGUUAUAUAAUUUAUUUAGAAUAUUUUGAUUUCUGUGUUUGGUUGUGGGUUUUAUGUGUGGCUUUUUAUUUGUCAUUUAUCUGAUUUUUUGUGUGAAGUAUUAGAUUUCCUUUGAAUUGUGUUCUUCCUUGGGAUGUUAGUUUUAUUUUCUCGUCUUUUCAUCUGAUCCCGGUGUCUUGUCCCACCAUUGAUAAGCAUAUAAUUGGAUUUUUCAGGAUUCUCAGGAGCAGGAGAAUUGUGUGAGGAAAGUCUUCUUAGAUAAGUUUUCUUCGUAUUCCCUGUUCUUUCAUAUAUCGCAUUGGUCAAUAUAUCUGUUAUGUUUGGGUAUGAUUUGUUGACUUGAUCUAUGCAUUAUUGAAUUCAUUUCGAAUAUGUUCAUUAUAUUUUGGUUUGUGCACAUUACGUUUCAUUUUUUAUUUCUCAUUUCUUUCUUUGUGGGUGAUAAUAGUGUAAUUUCCAUUUCUGGUCUUUUCAUGUGAUCUCGGCUUCUUUUGGAAAUCAUUUGUAAGCAUAUCACUGCAUUUUUCAGGUUUCUCGGAAGCAAGAAAAGUUUAUGAGGAAGUACUUCUUAUCUAAGUUUACUUCGUAUUCCCUUUUGUCUGCUAUAUCGCAAUUUUCAUUAUCUCUGUUAUGUGUUGGUAUUAUUUGAUCAUUUGUGUUAUUUUUUGGGCGCAUUUGUGUUUUGUUUGUUGUUUAUGAUUUCUUUGAUUUUGGGUGAGAAGUUCUUGAUUGCCUUUUUGUAGCAUUUUUCCAUGGAAUGUUAGUUUCCUUUUCUCGUCUUUUCAUUUAAUGUCGGUUUCUUAGCCCACAAUUUAUAACCGUAUAACUUCCUUUUUUAGGUUAUUCGGGAGCAGGUAAAGUGUAUGAAGAAAUACUUUUUUGGUAAGUUUCAUUCAAAUUCUCCCAUAUCACAUCGCUCGUUAUGUUUGUUAUGUUUGGGUAUUAUUUUUUUACUUUAUGUAUACGUUAUAUAAUUUAUUUAGAAUAUUUUGAUUUCUGUGUUUGGUUGUGGGUUUUAUGUGUGGCUUUUUAUUUGUCAUUUAUUUUAAUGUUUGUGUGAAGUAUUAGAUUUCCUUUGAACUAUGUUUUUCCUCGGGAUGUUAUUUUUAUUUUCUCGUCUUUUCAUCUGAUCUCCGUGUCUUGUCCAACCAUUAAUAAGCAUAUAAUGGGAUUUUUCAGGAUUCUCGGGAGCGGGAGAAGUGUGUGAGGAAAGUCUUCUUAGAUAAGUUUUCUUCGUAUUCCCUGUUCUUUCAUAUAUAGCAUUCUUCAAUAUAUCUGUUAUGUUUGGAUAUGAUUUGUUGACUUGAUCUAUGCAUUAUUGAAUUAAGUUCGAAUAUGUGCAAUAUGUUUUGGUUUGUGUGCUUUGCGUUUUAUUUUUUACUUCUCAUUUCUUUCUUUGUGGGUGAGAAUAGUGUAAUUUCCAUUUCUGGUCUUUUCUUGUGAUCUCGGCUUCUUUGGCAAUCAUUUCUAAGCAUAUCAUUGGAUUUUUCAGGUUUCUUGGAAGCAAGAGAAGUUUAUGAGGAUGUACUUCUUAUCUAAGUUUACUUCGUAUUCCCUUUUUUCUUCUAUAUCGCAAUUUUCAUUAUCUCUGUUAUGUGUUGGUAUUCUUUGUUGAUUUGUGUUAUUUUUUGUGCGCAUUUGUGUUUUGUUUUUUGUUUGUGAUUUCUUUGAUUAUGGGUGAGAAGUUGUUGAUUUCCUUUUUGUAGCAUUUCUCCAUGGAAUGUUAGUUUCCUUUUCUCGUCUUUUCAUUUAAUGGCGGUUUCUAAGCCCACAAUUUAUAACUGUAUAACUUCAUUUUUUCAGGUUAUUCGGGAGCAGGUGAAGUGUAUGAAGAAAUACUUUUUUGGUAAGUUUCAUUCGAAUUCUCCCAUCUCACAUCGCUCAUUAUGUUUGUUAUGUUUGGGUGUUAUUUUUUGACUUUAUGUAUGCGUUAUAGAAUUUAUUUAGAAUAUUUUGAUUUCUGUGUUUGGUUUUGGGUUUUAUGUGUGGCUUUUUAUUUGUCAUUUAUUUGAUUGUUUUUGUGAAGUAUUAGAUUUUCUUUGAACUGUGUUUUUCCUUGGGAUGUUAUUUUUAUUUUCUCGACUUUUCAUCUGAUCUCCGUGUCUUGUCCAACCAUUAAUAAGCAUAUAAGUGGAUUUUUCAGGAUUCUCGGGAGCGGGAGAAGUGUGUGAGGAAAGUCUUCUUAGAUAAGUUUUCUUCGUAUUCCCUGUUCUUUCAUAUAUAGCAUUCUUCAAUAUAUUUGUUAUGUUUGGAUAUGAUUUGUUGACUUGAUGUAUGCAUUAUUGAAUUAAGUUCGAAUAUGUGCAAUAUGUUUUGUUUUGUGUGCUUUGCGUUUUAUUUUUUAUUUCUCAUUUCUUUCUUUGUGGGUGAGAAUAGUGUAAUUUCCAUUUCUGGUCUUUUCUUGUGAUCUCGGCUUGUUUGGCAAUCAUUUCUAAGCAUAUCACUGGAUUUUUCAGGUUUCUCGGAAGCAAGAGAAGUUUAUGAGGAAGUACUUCUUAUCUAGGUUUACUUCGUAUUCCCUUUUUUCUACUAUAUCGCAAUUUUCAUUAUCUCUAUUAUGUGUUGGUAUUAUUUGGUGAUUUGUGUUUUGUUUUUUGUUUGUGAUUUCUUUGAUUAUGGGUGAGAAGUUGUUGAUUUCCUUUUUGUAGCAUUUCUCCAUGGAAUGUUAGUUUCCUUUUCUCGUCUUUUCAUUUAAUGUCGGUUUCUUAGCCCACAAUUUCUAACCAUAUAACUUCAUUUUUUCAGGUUAUUCGGGAGCAGCUGAAGUGUAUGAAGAAAUAAUUUUUUGGUAAGUUUCAUUCGAAUUCUCUCAUAUCACAUCGCUCGUUAUGUUUGGGUAUUAUUUUUUGACUUUAUGUAUACGUUAUAUAAUUUAUUUAGAAAAUUUUGAUUUCUGUGUUUGGUUGUGGGUUUUAUGUGUGGCUUUUUAUUUGUCAUUUAUCUGAUUGUUUGUGUGAAGUAUUAGAUUUCCUUUGAAUUGUGUUCUUCCUUGGGAUGUUAGUUUUAUUUUCUCGUCUUUUCAUCUGAUCCCGGUGUCUUGUCCCACCAUUAAUAAGCAUAUAAUUGGAUUUUUCAGGAUUCUCAGGAGCAGGAGAAUUGUGUGAGGAAAGUCUUCUUAGAUAAGUUUUCUUCGUAUUCCCUGUUCUUUCAUAUAUCGCAUUGGUCAAUAUAUCUGUUAUGUUUGGGUAUGAUUUGUUGACUUGAUCUAUGCAUUAUUGAAUUCAUUUCGAAUAUGUUCAUUAUAUUUUGGUUUGUGCACAUUACGUUUCAUUUUUUAUUUCUCAUUUCUUUCUUUGUGGGUGAGAAUAGUGUAAUUUGUAUUUCUGGUCUUUGCAUGUGAUCUCGGCUUCUUUGGCAAGCAUUUCUAAGCAAUCACUAGACUUUUCAGGUUUCUCGGAAGCAAGAGAAGUUUAUGAGGAAGCACUUCUUAUCUAGGUUUACUUCGUAUUCCCUUUUUUCUUCUAUAUCGCAAUUUUCAUUAUCUCUGUUAUGUGUUGGUAUUAUUUGUUUAUUUGUGUUAUUUUUUGUGCGCAUUUGUGUUUUCUUUGUUGUUUGUGAUUUCUUUGAUUUUGGAUGAGAAGUUCUUGAUUUCCUUUUUGUAGCAUUUUUCCAUGGAAUGUUAGUUUCCUUUUCUCGUCUUUUCAUUUAAUGUCGGUUUCUUAGCCCACAAUUUAUAACCGUAUAACUUCAUUUUUUUAGGUUAUUCGGGAGCAGGUGAAGUGCAUGAAGAAAUACUUUUUUGGUAAGUUUCAUUCGAAUUCUCCCAUAUCACAUCGCUCGUUAUGUUUGUUAUGUUUGGGUAUUAUUUUUUGACUUUAUGUAUACGUUAUAUAAUUUAUUUAGAAUAUUUUGAUUUGUGUGUUUGGUUGUGGGUUUUAUGUGUGGCUUUUUAUUUGUCAUUUAUUUGAUUGUUUGUUUGAAGUAUUAGAUUUCCUUUGAACUGGGUUUUUCCAUGGGAUGUUAUUUUGAUUUUCUCGUCUUUUCAUCUGAUCUCGGUGUCUUGUCCCACCAUUAAUAUGCAUAUAAGUGUAUUUUUCAGGAUUCUCGGGAGCAGGAGAAGUGUGUGAGGAAAGUCUUCUUACAUAAGUUUUCUUCGUAUUCCCUGUUCUUUCAUAUAUCGCAUUGUUCAAUAUAUCUGUUAUGUUUGGGUAUGAUUUGUUGACUUGAUCUAUGCAUUAUUGAAUUAAGUUCGAAUAUGUUCAUUAUGUUUUGGUUUGUGGGCUUUGCGUUUCAUUUUUUAUUUGUCAUUUCUUUCUUUGUGGGUGAUAAUAGUGUAAUUUCCAUUUCUGGUCUUUUCUUGUGAUCUCGGCUUGUUUGGCAAUCAUUUCUAAGCAUAUCACUGCAUUUUUCAGGUUACUCGGAAGCAAGAAAAGUUUAUGAGGAAGUACUUCUUAUCUAAGUUUACUUCGUAUUCCCUUUUGUCUGCUAUAUCCCAAUUUUCAUUAUCUCUGUUAUGUGUUGGUGUUAUUUGAUCAUUUGUGUUAUUUUUUGUGCGUAUUUGUGUUUUGUUUGUUGUUUGUGAUUUCUUUGAUUUUGGGUGAGAAGUUCUUGACUUCCUUUUUGUAGCAUUUUUCCAUGGAAUGUUAGUUUCCUUUUCUCGUCUUUUCAUUUAAUGUCGGUUUCUUAGCCCACAAUUUAUAACCGUAUAACUUCAUUUUUUCAGGUUAUUCGGGAGCAGGUGAAGUGUAUGAAGAAAUACUUUUUUGGUAAGUUUCAUUCGAAUUCUCCCAUAUCACAUCGCUCGUUAUGUUUGUUAUGUUUGGGUAUUAUUUUUUUACUUUAUGUAUACGUUAUAUAAUUUAUUUAGAAUAUUUUGAUUUCUGUGUUUGGUUGUGGGUUUUAUGUGUGGCUUUUUAUUUGUCAUUUAUUUUAAUGUUUGUGUGAAGUAUUAGAUUUCCUUUGAUUUGUGUUAUUCCUUGGGAUGUUAUUUUUAUUUUCUCGUCUUUUCAUCUGAUCUCUGUGUCUUGUCCAACCAUUAAUAAGCAUAUAAGUUGAUUUUUCAGGAUUCUCGGGCGCAGGAGAAGUGUGUGAGGAAAGUCUUCUUAGAUAAGUUUUCUUCGUAUUCCCUGUUCUUUCAUAUAUCGCAUUGUUCAAUAUAUCUGUUAUGUUUGGGUAUGAUUUGUUGACUUGAUCUAUGCAUUAUUGAAUUAAGUUCGAAUGUGUUCAUUAUGUUUUUGUUUUUGCGAUUUACGUUUCAUUUUUUAUUUCUCAUUUCUUUCUUUGUGGGUGAGAAUAGUGUAAUUUGUAUUUUUGGUCUUUUCAUGUGAUCUCGGCUUCUUUGGCAAACAUUUCUAAGCAAAUCAAUGGACUUUUUAGGUUUCUCGGAAGCAAAAGAAGUUUAUGAGGAAGUACUUCUUAUCUAGGUUUAUUUCGUAUUCCCUUUUCUCUACUAUAUUGCAAUUUUCAUUAUCUCUGUUGUGUGUUGGUAUUAUUUGUUGAUUUGUGUUAUUUUUUGUACGUAUUUGUGUUUUGUUUGGUGUUUGGGAUUUCUUUGAUUAUGGGUGAGAAGUUGUUGAUUUCCUUUUUGUGGAAUAUUUCCAUGGAAUAUUAGUUUCCUUUUCUCGUCUUUUCAUUUAAUGUCGGUUUCUAAGCUCACAAUUUAUAACUGUAUAACUUAAUUUUUUCAGGUUAUUCGAGAGCAGGUGAAGUGUAUGAAGAACUACUUUUUUGGUAAGUUUCAUUCGAAUUCUCCCAUCUCACAUCGCUCGUUAUGUUUGUUAAGUUUGGGUAUUAUUUUUUAUUUUAUGUAUGCGUUAUAUAAUUUAUUUAGAAUAUUUUUAUUUGUGUGUUUGGUUGUUGGUUUUAUGUGUGGCUUUUUAUUUGUCAUUUAUUUGAUUGUUUGUUUGAAGUAUUAGAUUUCCUUUGUACUGGGUUGUUCCAUGGGAUGUUAUUUUGAUUUUCUCGUCUUUUCAUCUGAUCUCGGUGUCUUGUCCCACCAUUAAUAUGCAUAUAAGUGUUUUUUUCAGGAUUGUCGGGAGCAGGAGAAGUGUGUGAGGAAAGUGUUCUUACAUAAGUUUUCUUCGUAUUCCUUGUUCUUUCAUAUAUCGCAUUGUUCAAUAUAUCAGUUAUGUUUGGGUAUGAUUUGUUGACUUGAUCUAUGCAUUAUUGAAUUAAGUUCGAAUAUGUUCAUUAUGUUUUGGUUUGUGGGCUUUGCGUUUCAUUUUUGAUUUCUCAUUUCUUUCUUUGUGGGUGAUAAUAGUGUAAUUUCCAUUUCUGGUCUUUUCAUGUGAUCUCGGCUUCUUUGGCAUCAUUUCUAAGAAUAUCACUGGAUUUUUCAGGUUUCUCGGAAGCAAGAGAAGUUUAUGAGGAAGUACUUCUUAUCUAAGUUUACUUCGUAUUCCCUUUUUUCUGCUAUAUCACAAUUUUCAUUAUCUCUGUUAUGUGGUUGUAUUAUUUGUUGAUUUGUGUUAUUUUUUGUGUGCAUUUGUGUUUUGUUUGUUGUUUGUGAUUUCUUUGAUUUUGGGUGAGAAGUUGUUGAUUUCCUUUUUGUAGCAUUUUUCCAUGGAAUGUUAGUUUCAUUUUCUCGUCUUUUCAUUUAAUGUCGGUUUCUUAGCCCACAAUUUAUAACCGUAUAACUUCAUUUUUUCAGGUUAUUCGGGAGCAGGUGAAGUGUAUGAAGAAAUACUUUUUUGGUAAGUUUCAUUCGAAUUCUCCCAUAUCACAUCGCUCGUUAUGUUUGUUAUGUUUGGGUAUUAUUUUUUGACUUUAUGUAUACAUUAUAUAAUUUAUUUAGAAUAUUUUGAUUUCUAUGUUUGGUUGUGGGUUUUAUGUGUGGCUUUUUAUUUGUCAUUUAUUUUAAUGUUUGUGUGAAGUAUUAGAUUUCCUUUGAACUGUGUUUUUCCUUGGGAUGUUAUUUUUAUUUUCUCGUCUUUUCAUCUGAUCUUUGUGUCUUGUCCAACCAUUAAUAAGCAUAUAAGUGGAUUUUUCAGGAUUCUCGGGAGCAGGAGAAGUGUGUGAGGAAAGUCUUCUUAGAUAAGUUUUCUUCGUAUUUUCUGUUCUUUCAUAUAUCGCAUUGUUCAAUAUAUCUGUUAUGUUUGGGUAUGAUUUGUUGACUUGAUCUAUGUAUUAUUGAAUUAAGUUCGAAUGUGUUCAUUAUGUUUUUGUUUUUGCGAUUUACGUUUCAUUUUUUAUUUCUCAUUUCUUUCUUUGUGGGUGAGAAUAGUGUAAUUUGUAUUUCUGGUCUUUUCAUGUGAUCUUGGCUUCUUUGGCAAACAUUUCUAAGCAAAUCACUGGACUUUUCAGGUUUCUCGGAAGCAAGAGAAGUUUAUGAGGAAGUACUUCUUAUCUAGGUUUACUUCGUAUUCCCUUUUUUCUACUAUAUCGCAAUUUUCAUUAUCUCUGUUAUGUGUUGGUAUUAUUUGUUGAUUUGUGUUAUUUUUUUUGCGCAUUUGUGUUUUGUUUGUUGUUUGGGAUUUCUUUGAUUAUGGGUGAGAAGUUGUUGAUUUCCUUUUUGUCGAAUUUUUCCAUGGAAUAUGAGUUUCCUUUUCUCGUCUUUUCAUUUAAUGUCGGUUUCUAAGCCCACAAUUUAUAACCGUAUAACUUCAUUUUUUCAGGUUAUUCGGGAGCAGGUGAAGUGUAUGAAGAAAUUCUUUUUUGGUAAGUUUCAUUCGAAUUCUCCCAUAUCACAUCGCUCGUUAUGUUUGUUAUGUUUGGGUAUUAUUUUUUGACUUUAUGUAUACGUUAUAUAAUUUAUUUAGAAUAUUUUGAUUUAUUUGUUUGGUUGUGGGUUUUAUGUGUGGCUUUUUAUUUGUCAUUUAUUUUAAUGUUUGUGUGAAGUAUUAGAUUUCCUUUGAAAUGUGUUUUUCCUUGGGAUGUUAUUUUGAUUUUCUCGUCUUUUCAUCUGAUCUCGGUGUCUUGUCCCACCAUUAAUAAACAUAUAAGUGGAUUUUUCAGGAUUCUCGGAAGCAGGAUAAGUGUGUGAGGAAAGUCUUCUUAGAUAAGUUUUCUUCGUAUUCCCUGUUCUUUCAUAUAUCGCAUUGGUCAAUAUAUCUGUUAUGUUUGGGUAUGAUUUGUUGACUUGAUCUAUGCAUUAUUGAAUUCAUUUCGAAUAUGGUCAGUAUAUUUUGGUUUGUGCGCUUUACGUUUCAUUUUUUAUUUCUCAUUUCUUUCUUUGUGGGUGAUAAUAGUGUAAUUUCCAUUUCUGGUCUUUUCAUGUGAUCUCGGCUUUUUUGGCAAUCAUUUCUAAGCAUAUCACUGGAUUUUUCAGGUUUCUCGGAAGCAAGAAAAGUUUAUGAGGAAGUACUUCUUAUCUAAGUUUACUUCGUAUACCCUUUUGUCUGCUAUAUCGCAAUUUUCAUUAUCUCUGUUAUGUGUUGGUAUUAUUUGAUUAUUUGUGUUAUUUUUUGUGCGCAUUUGUGUUUUGUUUGUUGUUUGUGAUUUCUUUAAUUUUGGGUGAGAAGUUCUUAAUUUCCUUUUUGUAGCAUUUUUCCAUGGAAUGUUAGUUUCCUUUUCUCGUCUUUUCAUUUAAUGUCGGUUUCUUAACCCACAUUUAUAACCGUAUAACUUUAUUUUUUCAGGUUAUUCGGGAGCAGGUGAAGUGUAUGAAGAAAUACUUUUUUGGUAAGUUUCUUUCGAAUUCUCCCAUAUCACAUCGCUCGUUAUGUUUGUUAUGUUUAGGUAUUAUAUUUUAACUUUAUGUAUACGUUAUAUAAUUUAUUUAAAAUAUUUUGAUUUCUGUGUUUGGUUGUGGGUUUUAUGUAUGGCUUUUUAUUUGUCAUUUAUUUGAUUGUUUGUGUGAAGUAUUAGAUUUCCUUUGAAAUGUGUUUUUCCUUGGGAUGUUAUUUUUAUUUUCUCGUCUUUUCAUCUGAUCCCGGUGUCUUGUCCCACCAUGAAUAAGCAUAUAAGUGGAUUUUUCAGGAUUCUCGGAAGCAGGAGAAGUGUGUGAGGGAAGUCUUCUUAGAUAAGUUUUCUUCGUAUUCCCUGUUCUUUCAUAUAUCGCAUUGUUCAGUAUAUCUGUUAUGUUUGGGUAUGAUUUGUUGACUUGAUCUAUGCAUUAUUGAAUUCAGUUCGAAUAUGUUCAUUAUGUUUUGGUUUGUGCGAUUUACGUUUCAUUUUUUAUUUCUUAUUUCUUUCUUUGUGGGUGAGAAUAGUGUAAUUUGUAUUUCUGGUCUUUUCAUGUGAUCUCGGCUUCUUUGGCAAGCAUUUCUAAGCAAAUCACUGGACUUUUCAAGUUUCUCGGAAGCAAGAGAAGUUUAUGAGGAAGUACUUCUUAUCUAGGUUUACUUCGUAUUCCCUUUUUUCUACUAUAUCGUAAUUUUCAUUAUCUCUGUUAUGUGUCGGUAUUAUUUGUUGAUUUGUGUUAUUUUUUGUGUGCAUUUGUGUUUUGUUUGUUGUUUGUGAUUUCUUUGAUUAUGGGUGAGAAGUUGUUGAUUUCCUUUUUGUCGAAUUUUUCCAUGGAAUGUUAGUUUCCUUUUCUCGUCUUUUCAUUUAAUGUCGGUUUCUAAGCCCACAAUUUAUAACCGUAUAACUUCAUUUUUUUAGGUUAUUCGGGAGCAGGUGAAGUGUAUGAAGAAAUUCUUUUUUGGUAAGUUUCAUUCGAAUUCUCCCAUAUCACAUCGCUCGUUAUGUUUGUUAUGUUUGGGUAUUAUUUUUUGACUUUAUGUAUAUGUUAUAUAAUUUAUUUAUAAUAUUUUGAUUUAUUUGUUUGGUUGUGGGUUUUAUGUGUGGCUUUUUAUUUGUCAUUUAUUUUAAUGUUUGUGUGAAGUAUUAGAUUUCCUUUGAAAUGUGUUUUUCCUUGGGAUGUUAUUUUGAUUUUCUCGUCUUUUCAUCUGAUCUCGGUGUCUUGUCCCACCAUUAAUAAACAUAUAAGUGGAUUUUUCAGGAUUCUCGGAAGCAGGAUAAGUGUGUGAGGAAAGUCUUCUUAGAUAAGUUUUCUUCGUAUUCCCUGUUCUUUCAUAUAUCGCAUUGGUCAAUAUAUCUGUUAUGUUUGGGUAUGAUUUGUUGACUUGAUCUAUGCAUUAUUGAAUUCAUUUCGAAUAUGGUCAGUAUAUUUUGGUUUGUGCGCUUUACGUUUCAUUUUUUAUUUCUCAUUUCUUUCUUUGUGGGUGAUAAUAGUGUAAUUUCCAUUUCUGGUCUUUUCAUGUGAUCUCGGCUUUUUUGGCAAUCAUUUCUAAGCAUAUCACUGGAUUUUUCAGGUUUCUCGGAAGCAAGAAAAGUUUAUGAGGAAGUACUUCUUAUCUAAGUUUACUUCGUAUACCCUUUUGUCUGCUAUAUCACAAUUUUCAUUAUCUCUGUUAUGUGUUGGUAUUAUUUGAUCAUUUGUGUUAUUUUUUGUGCGCAUUUGUGUUUUGUUUGUUGUUUGUGAUUUCUUUAAUUUUGGGUGAGAAGUUCUUAAUUUCCUUUUUGUAGCAUUUUUCCAUGGAAUGUUAGUUUCCUUUUCUCGUCUUUUCAUUUAAUGUUGGUUUCUAAGCCCACAAUUUAUAACCGUAUAACUUCAUUUUUUCAGGUUAUUCGGGAGCAGGUGAAGUGUAUGAAGAAAUUCUUUUUUGGUAAGUUUCAUUCGAAUUCUCCCAUAUCACAUCGCUCGUUAUGUUUGUUAUGUUUGGGUAUUAUUUUUUGACUUUAUGUAUACGUUAUAUAAUUUAUUUAGAAUAUUUUGAUUUAUUUGUUUGGUUGUGGGUUUUAUGUGUGGCUUUUUAUUUGUCAUUUAUUUUAAUGUUUGUGUGAAGUAUUAGAUUUCCUUUGAAAUGUGUUUUUCCUUGGGAUGUUAUUUUGAUUUUCUCGUCUUUUCAUUAGAUCUCCGUGUCUUGUCCAACCAUUAAUAAGCAUAUAAGUGGAUUUUUCAGGAUUCUCGGGAGCGGGAGAAGUGUGUGAGGAAAGUCUUCUUAGAUAAGUUUUCUUCGUAUUCCCUGUUCUUUCAUAUAUAGCAUUCGUCAAUAUAUCUGUUAUGUUUGGAUAUGAUUUGUUGACUUGAUGUAUGCAUUAUUGAAUUAAGUUCGAAUAUGUGCAAUAUGUUUUGUUUUGUGUGCUUUGCGUUUUAUUUUUUAUUUCUCAUUUCUUUCUUUGUGGGUGAGAAUAGUGUAAUUUCCAUUUCUGGUCUUUUCAUGUGAUCUCGGCUUUUUUGGCAAUCAUUUCUAAGCAUAUCACUGGAUUUUUCAGGUUUCUCGGAAGCAAGAGAAGUUUAUGAGGAAGUACUUCUUAUCUAAGUUUACUUCGUAUACCCUUUUGUCUGCUAUAUCGCAAUUUUCAUUAUCUCUGUUAUGUGUUGGUAUUAUUUGAUCAUUUGUGUUAUUUUUUGUGCACAUUUGUGUUUUGUUUGUUGUUUGCAAUUAUGAAAUGUCAUUCAUUAGGAAUUAAAUAGUCAAAGCAUCCAUACAUGAUUAAACGCUGUAUGGUUCAACCCCUCCUAUAUGGAUUUUUAACCCAUCCUCAAAACCCAUAUUGGAAGCAGAGCACUAAGGGCAGGAUGGAAAUGCCCAUAAAUUCUCCAAUAAGCUUGAAAGAGGGUCUAAGCCAAAGCUGUUGGGCUUGGGCCUCCUAUGCACUAGUCUUUCAAUCUAGGCUAGAUUUUGUUUUUCAAUCUGGGCUAAAUUUUGUAUAUAUUUUAUUAGAUGGGUUUUUGAAAACCCAUUUUUUUGAAAUUUGAGCCGCUAUUUUUUAGUUUUAUUCGGACAAAAAUACCCUCAUUAUUUUAUUUUAUUUUAUUUUUAUAAAAAUAACCUCUUUUUUAAAACCUACACUUAAACAUAUAAGAGUUAUUUUAUUAAAAGGGUUAUUGAAAACCCAACUUUUGAAAUUUGACCUCCCAUCCAUUUUUAGCUUUAUUCAGACAAAAAUGCCCUCAUUAUUAUCAUUAUUUUUUGGUAAAAAUAAUUUUUCUUUUAAAAUCUAUAUGUAAAUAUUUGAAAGAGACAUUUAUGUAAAAAAAAAAAAAAAAGUUAUUUUUCAAGAAAAAAUAUAGGAAUGGUUAGAUUCAUAAUUUGAAGAGAUUAUUUAAUCUCUUUUAGUGAAAUAUUUUCAUAUAUAAUAUAAGUAUUACUGUAAAGAAAAAAAAAAAAAAGGUAGUCUAAGUAUGACAAUAUGAUUAAAAUAUGAAAAAUUUUAUCUAGAUGUUGAAGAAUGAAAAACGUGACGUAAAUAAGAAUAAUAUGAUUAAGGUUCAAAAUAUAUGAUUAAGAUAUGAAUAUAUGAUUAAAGUAAUUAGGUAUGAAAAAUAAAAUUCAAAUACAAAGAAUAUAACUCAGGUACAAAAAUAUGACAAAAACAUAAAAAAUCUAAAUAAGAUCUUAAAGUAUGCAAAAUAAUCAAGAUAUUAAUAUACGAAGACACAUAAUUACUAUGGACAUGAAAAAAAUGAUUUAGGCAGAAAAAAUAUAAUCAAAAUAUAAAAAAUUGACUAAAUAUAAUUAUGGUAUGAAAAAUACAAUAAUAGUACUUAUAUGUAGGGUAUAAAAAGUAACAUCAAGGAUACAAAUGAUAUCUUUAAUUUAUACUUAUUCGUCGUAAAAAUAAAAUUCAUCUUAUAAAAAAUUUAUUUAUUAUUAUUAUUUUUACUUGUGUUCAGUGAUGUAUUAAAUUUUAAUAAGUAUCAAUUAAAAUAUAUUUAAUUUAUUUUUAUUUUAAUUGAUUAUUUUAUAUUUUUAAACUCAUUUGAUUUUUUUUUUCUUUAGUUGGAAAUUAUUUUUAUUUAUUUUUAGGGAUUUAUAUUUAUUUUAUUUUAUUUAUUUUUAAUAUAGAUAUGUUAGUAAAGUAUGGGUGCAAGACAACGUACAAUUCCGUACUAUGAGCCCAACAAGCCAAAAUGGGCUUUAGACAUCAAGAAAAGGCUUAAAAGCAAUCCUCCUUCUCUUUCGUUUUGAUUCUUCGUUCAAACAGGAGUUGUACCCAUGCAGAAUUCUUUUAAUGUUCUGUAUCAUCACCGGGAGACAAGGAAAGGAGAAGGGUCGGUGGUUGGCAUUUGGGAAUGUGUUUCUCAAUAUGAUGUCUAUCAUCAUCGGAAGACCUGGAAAGGAGAAGGGCGGUGGUGGACAUUUGGAAAGUCAAUCUUUUUUUUUUUCUUUUAAUGUUCGAAAAUGGUGUUGAGACCGCCUCAUCUUUCUCUUUGAAUGAUGGUGUCUCGAUUCUACAAUAUGCAUUCCCCGUUCUUCCGUUCUCCUUUUUAAACCCACAUUUUAGUAUUUUCUCUUCGACUUUGUUUGGUUUCCUUUUCUUUUUUUGUUUGGCUUGCCGAGAAAAUGAAGGAAAACAAAGUAAAGUUCUUGAUUUAUGUUUGAUUUUUCUUUUGCAACCAUGUUUUGAUCUUUUUUUUUUCUUGGACUUUGUUUAGUUUCUGAGAAGAUGGUCUAGGUUUGACAUGGAUUGUCUUUCUUUCUUUUUCUUGGUUUAUGUUUGGUUUGCCAAUAACGUGAAUUCUCUCUUUCAAACCUAUGUUUUGAUUUUUUUUUUCUUUUCGGCUCUAAUUGGUUUUCAAGAAAGUGACCUAGGUGUAAUUUGAAUUGUGAUUUCUUUCUUUUUCUUGGUUUCUGUUCGGUUGGCCAUGAAAUUGAAAGAAAAUGAACUCUUUGUUCUUUCUUUUUCUUCAUUUAUCUUUGGUUUACAAGAAAUUUACGUUUUCUUGAUUUUUCUUUGUCGAUUGCGUUCAUGUCGUCCAGUUUAUUUUGGUUGGUGUGCUAUGAAAAUGAUAUGAAAUUGUCACUAAUUCUUGUUUUUCCUUGUUGAUUAGUUUUUGGAAUUAUGUUGUCAUGAUGAUAAAGAGGUUCUAACCACUUAGGUUGUCGGCAAUGUCCUGAACUUGGCGCAGGGGUUGCUCGACCUUGGCAUCUGUUCCGGAGAUGUCCUUGCCAUUUCUGUUCUCAACAGGUGUGUCCUGCCAACCUACACCUUUGGUGGUGGUGAUCAUGUACGGUGGGGGCUCCUUUUAGAGCGCAAGUUAGCAGGACCACUACAAGAAUAAUUGGAAAAUAGGGAUUCAGCACCAAGUCUAAGGCAAAUGAGAAUUCAGAACCAACCGAAGGUUACCGGUUAUCUCGUCUCAUGCUCAUCAUUCAUAUCUGUAUUUAUUUUUUAUUAUUUUGAAUUCUUGAAUUUUCUUUUUAAGAAAUAGUCAUCAGAGAUGAGAGAAUUUUCUAGCUAUGUUUUCCUCCUGUGGUCACAGCUGCUUAGAGAAAAUUCAUUGUUUAAUGAUUAUAAUAAAUUGGGCCAAAUUGCAUAUUUUUAAUUUUAUACAUUUUGUUAUAAAUGUUGUUGCUUGAUUUAUUCCAAAUUUUAAAGCUGAAAAUAAGAAAUUAGCCAAACUUCCUGAUUUUCUUUAAUUUCCUCCUCCCCCCAAAGAAAAGCUCCAAUUUUAGCUUCAUUUAUAAGGGAAAUUAUUAAAAUCAUGAGCCUUAUCCCAUAUCAUAAGUAAGGACUGCAUUUCUUUUCUUAAUUUGUCUAUAGUUUUACAUAAUUUUAAUUUUGGGGGGUUGUUUGGUGAACUAUGAGACAGAGCAGAAAAGAGGGUUGUGAGCUGGAAAAAGCUGGGGGGAGGGGAGGUAAAGUGGGAAGAUGAGAAAGCUUUGCUUGGGGAGGAGUUUCAAGGUAAGGUCUUUGUAAACUUCACAUUUCCUCAUUUUCACAUUAUUCUACUACAUUUUUCUACAUAUUCCUGGGUGUGAUUUUAUUGAUUGGUUUGGGCAUCAAGGAUUAUUGGUUUGUUUUUCUGAAUUUAUUUGUAUGUAUAUAUGCUCUGUUUGAUUUUAUCUUGGUUUCCUAGACUCCUCCUGCAAGUAGUUGAUGCAUGGCUUCAUCCUUGAACUUGAUAUGUAAAAAUCAUGCUUUUGUUUCUUGUUGAUGCUACCUGCUACUAGCUCUUUUGACAAUCCAUGAAAUAGAGCUAGGUUCAUACUCUGUUUCUAUGUUUUUCCUCCUCUGUUUAUUGCUCUAUUUCUUGUUGAUGGUGGGAUGAUGUCAUCAAUGGCCAAGUUGUUGGGACUGGAGAAGUGAGGUUGUGGAGGGAAAUGAACUCAAUGAAGGAUUUCUAUGAUUGUAUUUGUGCUUCAAUCUAUUGGUUCAAAAUGGUGGCCAUGAAUUUGCAUUAAAGUUUUGUGUUCGAGUUUGCUUUGCCAUCUGGGUUUGAUAAGAUAUAUACUAGUAGUGAAGAUGAGAAUGAGGAUUUGAGACAUCUCCUCUUUUCCUAGAAGUCUUAGUGACUGUAGAAAUGGGUACUAUGUUCUUUGAGAAUAGCAGAUGAAGGUGAUCUUGUCCCAUUUGGACCUGGAAGCUAUAAAUUCUGUAACCUUCAAGGAAGACUAAGGGAAGCUCCUAGAUCUGGUCUCUAGGAUGCUAUGUAUGUGAAAUGACUACUCACAAACCUGCAUUUAAAGCCUUCAAUAUGCAAGCUUUGAUAAGCAAAAUGUACAAGUUUAUAGUGGCUCAAUUUCCAACCAUGUAUUCUGGUGCAUUCUUCUUGGCCCAAAGUGGGAAUCUAUGUCUGCUCUCCUCAAGAUCCUAGCAUUAUAACUCUUGAAAGUGUGCUCUCUGCUGCGGCGCAUCCAGCUUUUAAUGAAAGAUGGUUAUACUUCGAUUGAUGUUUUUUGGAAAAAAUAAGUUUCUCAAAGUUGGUUAAAAACCAAUACUGGGGUAUAAGCCUCCAUGCCAAAGUUUGUUGUUUGGUUCUGAGUGGUUCUUUCUUAUAGAGAAGACAAUGGUGCAGACGAGUAGAACAAGCUUCAACCCAUAGUGUGCUAAAGGUCCUCUAUCCUGAACUUGAAGAAAACAUCUACACUAUUACUCUUUCUGGAGGAACUGGGUUCUCAACCUUGGCCAUAAUCAAGCAUGCAGAUGCCAAGGAUGUCACCCUCUUUUGACUAAUGUCCAUUUCAGCUUGCGAAAGCAAAGGGAACUUUGAUGAAAAUGGUAGCUACAGUUGCCUCCUUGGUGUUGGGUAUAAAGACAGAAGGUAUUAAAGAAGGAUGACAUUAUGGAAGGAGGUUUGACCAUGUAUAUGGAGGUGGGCACAAAACACUAGAGGAAUUGCUAGAAAUCAUCACCUGGUGUUGCAGUAUUCCUUCAAGUGGCUUGCUGGGUGCUCACAAGGGAGAGUCAAAUUAAGGGUGUGCAUGGCAACGACUAAGUCACGAUUUGAUGUCCAAGUAGAAAAUCAUCUAGUUGUAACUUCAGAGGAAUUUUCUGUGCAUUAUUUGCACAUGAGGAUUGCCACAGACAAGUAGGUCUAACUGAGCAAUAAGGCAUCAGAUCGAAUGAGCUUACUGGGUGAGAGUAUUUCAUCUGAUGUGAUGAGCAUUACUGGAAGAGGUCUCACCGAGUUUUUUGGUGUCCCAAUUUAAAAGAUAGAUAUUAUAACUGCUGCCAUGAGACCAGCAUUAGUCACAAAAAGAGGAUUCUGCAUUGCAAGCACUCGAGUCAUUGAUCAUCCACAUCGGAGCAGUUCUGGAUGUGUCUUCUUUGCUUCCUUGUCCCCUUUCUCAUGGAUGCUGCAAUUACUACUAUCAAUGUCCUAGAGGAAAAUCUUGAUCUGACUAUGAAGCUGGUGGAAAAUAUUCCUAUGUUAUGGCAAGAAUUGUCUAAUUUCCAAGGCCUUUCAGUAGCAAGCCAUCUCUUAUCAGCCAUAGUAUUUCUCAUAACAGAGAAUUCAAUAGGUUCCUUAGAGAAUGAGUCGCACUUAAUUGAAGAUAUUACGGAUCGUAGGCUAAAUGAAGGCUCUGUGUUUGUUGUGGUUUCCAAUAGAUCCACGCUUGAUGAAUGUCGUCUUCCUGUCGGAAUCAAACUAUUUGUUUUUACUACAAACCUCCAGUCUAAUCACCUUGCUCUUCAUGUUGACGGUGACAGUUCUUCUUGCACGAUUUGUGUUGCCUCUGGAUGCUCCAUUUACAGAGUUCAAGUAUGAAUGGAAGAUUAUUUGGUCAGCAAAUGAAAAGAAAGCCUCAUGAUGCCAAUAAGCGCAUGGGUUACAGACCAUCAGCUAGUAGAAGCAUUUCCCAACCAAGUCUUGUUUUACUGAUGAUUCAGCUGCGGGCUCUAGUGCUGAAACCUGAACUUGAGACAGGUAAAAAUCCAGGAGUAUUAUGCUCAAGUUGUGUUGUUGAAUCCUGAAGGUGAGCAAAGAAAUAGCCAGGCUCUGGAAUCUACUCCAUAAGGUCCGUCAGUGAAACCCCCUCCAGCAAACUAUGACCACGUUGAGGUACCCCCAAAGAUGAACUAGGCCUGAAAGGUAGUACUCGGUGGUUUGUGAGGCUAAUUCUAGGGAACUUAUGUUUGGAACCACGUUGUUGGUUAUGAAGGCAUGAAUACAGAAAGUUUGGUUUCCAUUAAGGACAGGAUAUCUAUUUAUUUUUUAGACCAGGUUCCAACGGAUAAAAAGAAUGCCAAUCUACAAAUCAUAGCCAGUUCAGUUAAGCAUGGGGAAGGAAAAACAAUUUUUGUAAGAAAAACAGACUUGCUUCUUCUCAGUUUCAUCUAGUUCAACCAUCCAUGGCCCAAGCACUGGUGGGAUUGUUGCUUCUUCUCUGGAGAGUAGUUUAGACUCACUUGAUCAUCGUCCAAGAAUUUACAUUUGAUAGGAUAAUUCUCGUUUACAGCUGGGCAGGUACUGCAGCAAAACUGGAGUGAGGAAACUGAUGCAUGAGUGACUUGGUGAUGAUCACAUGUCACAGAAAAUAAAGCCAGAAAUUUCUGACGUAAAGCAUGGACUUUGAGGAUACUUAACCUCUCCCCAGCGAUUAUGAUCUAAUGCCAGAGACUAGGGAGCCUAAUUCUGAAGCUCGCGUUAAGUGUUGAUGAGUUCAACAACUCAGUUGAAGCAUUGCUUGAGAAAGAUGAAAUGUCGGUUGCUUUUCAUAAACUGAUCAUUAUGGAAAAAUGCCAUGGCAGUUGGCGAAUUCACUUCAUUGCUGGACUUUUUUCCCACUCCAGUAAAGCCGAUGAGCCCUCACUGUCCAGUAUCCAGCAUUGCAGUUUCAGGCAAAUCCUCUAUCUCCUUUGGCGGCUUCACCACGUGCUUGUGCUCCCUACAUGCAUAGCCACCCUCUUCACUAUUUGGAUUCAUUGGCCUCAGGCUUCUAUUCCAUUUUCAGAGGAUGAGUUUAAGUAUAUGAAAAAUCUUGAUCCAGUUCGGGAUUCUGGGAUGCUGCUCAUAUAUCCAAACAUCAAGAUCAGGCCAACUUUCAACCAGCCUUAGUAUCCCAUGCACCUUCCAUCUGGGAUACUGAUGAAACAUGCGAUGCCUUCUCUUUCCAAAAGAAUCUUGUUUUUCAUCAGGAGGUUCUGAGUUCCUUCUCUGGGGACUGGUGAACAGAUUACUAGAAUUAAUUUAGUGGGCUCUGGUUGCUUGAUUGAGGGGUUGCUCGAUGUGGAGUGCCUUUUGGAUAAUCCUGUUCAUAGAGAUCCAUUUGAUCCUUACAUGCUUGAUGGUACUGCCAGGGACCUCAGUGGGCUUGCAAAUAUAUAUUGGCCUGACUAUUUAGGGCCCUAAGAUUUGGAUAUGUCUUCCUCUAGAUACCAUAAUGAAGAUCUAAUCUUAAGUGACAGCCUUGGUGGUUUGAAGAGUUUGGUGGCAACAAUGUGGAUGCAUUUCAAAAUUGCUCCUCCUUCAGGUUGGACAAGAAAGGACCUGCAUCAACAGUUGAAGCUCGAGAAACAAUCUCAUUUGCAAAUGUUAAAAUUGGCAGUAGAUGGUUCAGAUGGUUUAAAAUAUGAUGGUGGAGAUAGUAAAAGACAUGGACAUGGAACUUUUUACUCAGGUAGAAAUGGAAACUUGGAAAACAAUGGAGCAUAUGGAGUUUAUCAAUUCCGAAAAUAAGCAUUUAUGAGCAGCCUCUCCAGAAGAGGCUCUCCCUGAAUGGCCAGAGCCUACACAUGUCUUUUGCUGUUCCAGAACUGAAAAUCACUUUGUCGGAGACUAUACAGUAUGCUGCUUUUUGGAACAUCGCAACUGGAGCUCCUUUUCAUGCAAUAACUGCAAGAGAUGGCCAAAGUAUUUGGUUAUACUGCCAGUGAACCUAUUGCUAUGCAGAUUCAAGGAAGUCAGGUAAAGGCUAGCUAGGUUGAUCCAUUGUGAGAAAGAAGGAAUUGAAUAAGAAAGGAUGUUUACCCAGGGAUCUGGUGAUAUCAUUGCAUCAGCUGUGCAGCCUAAAUCGGCAGUCGAUCAAAUUUCUAAAAAUUCAAGUUUGUCCUCAUCUCCAAAGUCUGUAUUACCAGAAAAGGUCCCAAUGGAUCAAGUUUCCUCAUGGAGUUUUAAUCUAGAGGUCAGCAAGAACCAUCCAAUCCCUCAAAGAAAACUUUAGAAGUCAAUAUCAUUCUGAGCGAGAAUAAAGCAGAAGCAGGUCAGACAAACAUAAAACAAACUAUUAAGGUAGCUAAUUCAAUAACAAUCCAAGAUACUGAAGGCAAAUCUGGAUAAUCGACACAUGAUAAGAAUGUUAUGGACAUGCUAGAGCCAGUUGAGGACAAUGCUACUUUAGACACCAUUGGAGACGUCAAGGAAAACAAUGGUGAAACAACAGAUGAACUCUUGGAACCACUACUACUGUGCUGUGAAUCUCUGCAAUCAUGUAGAUCUGGCAUCUUAGCUGAUGGUCAACUUGAUGAUCUCAUCCGAAGAGUUGCUACCUUUGGAAUGGUAUUAAUGAAGCUUGACUUGUGUCAGUAAUAUGCUAGGCAUGCUGAAACACAAAUGGAUCCAGAAGUUGGUGGACAUCAAUGGAGCAGGGGAUGCAUUCGUUGGAGGAUUGUUUAAAGGCCUGGAAAAUUCUUCCUAAAGUUAACUAUGCCAUGAGUGGCUAUGAGCUGGAAAUGUUGGUAACUUCAUAUCUUUUCUCUUGGAGCUUCGUGGGGUAUUUGCCAAUAUGCUUUGCACCUACAUCGCUGCCGUUGGACGGAUAUCUCUGCUGUUAUAUUGAUUACGCAGGAAUGUACUGAGCAACCUAAGCAUUGACAUCAGAUUACACAGGAAAACAAUGUUUCUUGUGGGGAAUUAGCUGAGUGUCAACUGGAGAAGGCCCUCAUUGCAGUUAUGAAUUUCCUGGAACUCAGGACAACUGAAGCACUAGUUUUCAAGGACUUCAAUGUGGGUGAUUGGCAAGAGGGGGUGUAUUGAAAGAUAUAAAUAAUGAAGGAGAUGUACAUUCCUGAUUUAAUGAAAUGCACCAAGAAAUUGCGGCACAAUGGAGUUGAGGAAUCAGCUUCAGAUAUAGCAAUACAAUCUCAGUCACAACCCUAGGCACCCACUCUAGUAUUGGCACCUUGGUGCACACUAUCCUCUUGAUGCAUUUCUUUAUAUCUUUGAGUGAAUUUACUUGUUUUGAAUCGGGUUUUAAAAUCUUUGUUCCAUCAAAAUAAUGUCAAUUGCUUUCAAAACUUCAUCCUUAGAAAAUAAAAUUCAGUUUAAAUAAAGGCUUGCCGCCAUAUUUCACUCUGGCAUGCACUUUUUCUUAUUUUCUUUUAAUGAUUUUCUCGAUCUUCUCAAUUUUAAAUAAACAUAAAUAAAUUCUCUAAAUUCCAAAAAUAAUGGAAUUCAUCUAGAUUUCUAUGAUCUUCCAUCCAUUAUCAUUAGCAAGACUGAAAUUUUGCGCAAUUAAUUCAUGUAAAUACUUCUUAGGUAAGUUUCCUCCGUAUUCCCUAUUCCAUCCCAUUUCGCACUGUUCUUUAUUAUUCUCUUUUAUGUUUGGGUGUUUUUUCUUCACUGCAUGUAUGUACUAGAAAAUUUAUUUCCAAUCCGUUGAUUUCUUUGUUUGUUUGUGAUCUUGAUGUUGUGUUAUCUAUUACUCGUUUCUUUAAUUUCAUCUCAGAAUAAUUUUAUUUCCGUUAAAGUACAUUGUGUCUUAUGAGGUAAUUUUCCAUUCUGGUUUUUACAUCCAAUCUCUACUCCUUUCCCCACCUUCAAUAAGCAUAAGGGGAGAAUUUUCAGGUUUCUCGGGAGCAAGAGAAGUGUAUUGGGAAAUACUUCUCGGGUAAGUUUACUCCGUAUUCCCUAUUCUCUCCCAUUUCUCAUUGUUCAUCAUUUUUCUCUUUUAUGUUUGGGUGUUAUUUGAUGUUGCAUUUUCUAUUACUCAUUUCUUUAGUUUCAUAUCAGAAUAAUUUGAUUUCCUUUCAACAACAUUAUGCCUUAUGAGGUAAUUUUUUUAUUUUGGUUUUUACAUCUAAUGUCGAUUCCUUUCCCUAUCUUCCAUAAUCAUAAGGGUGGAAUUCUCAGGUUUCCCGGGGAGGAGAGAAGUUUAUUUGGAAAUAGUUCUUGGGUAAGUUUCCUCCGUUUUCCUUCUUCUCUAAAAUUUGGCAAUGUUCUUCAUUUUUCUCUUGUAUGUUUGGGUGUUAUAUGUCGACUGUAUGUGUGUACUAGAAAAUUAUUUUUCAAUCCGUUGAUUUCUUUGUUUGUUUUUUAUCUUGAUGUUGCGUUGCCUAUUCCUCAUUUCUUUAGUUUCGUAUCAGAAUAAUUUUAUUUUCUUCCAACGACAUUGUGCCUUAAGAGUUAAUUUUCUUAUUCUCGUUUUUACAUUUGAUCUCUACUCCUUUCCCUACCUUUUAUAUGUGUUAAGGUGGAAUUUUCAGGUUUCCCAGGGACAAGAGAAGUUUAUUUGGAAAUACUUCUCAGGUAAGUUUCCUCUGUAUUCCCUAUUCUCUUCCAUUUCGCACUGUGCUUCAUUUUUUUCUUUUAUAUUUGCGUUUUAUUUGUUGACUGCAUGUAUGUAUUAGAUAAUUAAUUUUCAAUCAUUUGAUUUAUUUGUUUGUUUGAGAGCUUGAUGUUGCAUUUUCUAUUACUCAUUUCUUUAGUUUCGUAUCACAAAAGAGCAAUAAUGUUCACAAGAACUCAAAAACACUUUUUUUAAUGGCAGUUUGCACAGUAGCAGAAAGAAGUUCCCGUUGCCUAAUGACACCACUACUCUAUUUCAUUCUGAAUGCGUAAGCUGGUCUCUCUUGAUGCCAAGAAAAGCUCGCUGUUGGUGGAGUCUUCAAUGCACAUAUCAAUGCUUUGGUUAGGAUUUUCUUCAGGGAUGAUGCAGGAUAGCAAUUGUUGUGAAGAAUUCUCCUUUGCAAAUAUCACAAUCCAAGUAUGUAAAGAUUUGAGGGGGGGGUUAAUCUAUCUUCUGCACUUGAAUUUUGAAAAUAGUUGUCUAAGCUUCCAGGGUUGCUUGAGUGUUUCUUUGCUAGCAGUGAAACUAAUGAAAUGGGAUGAAGAUAUUUUCGGUCUUGAGUAUGGCCUGGCUCUGUUCAAUAUUGUGGUUGUUCCAGAUUUUGACAUGGAACCCGUGGAAAAAAAAAGUUCGAAUAUUUUCAAUCCCAAGCUUGUCUUGGCAUCUCCACAAAGUGCUGCAGUUGCAGAUUAUACAGCAAUUUUGGGGAUUAUUGAUCCUGAGUAAUCCUAGAACUGGACUAGUUCUAGCUCAGUGUAAAGGAAGGUCUUACAGUUUUCCAUAAUCAGGAAUUUUCAUGUAACUUGAGAAUUUGUGCAGUAAAGGGAAUUGCUGAUGUUUCAAGGCUUCAAUAUUAUCAAUUUUUGUAGGAUGCUGGUGCCCAGUUUUAGUCUCUGCUCCAUAUUAAACCAUACCAAAAGUUGUCAGAGACUGAAAUAGAAAUCCUGUGCCUUCUACUGGAGGACUGUGCUGCACAUGCUUCAUCAGCUGGCAAGAAGUGGUACUGGAGAAAAUGAAGAAAUGGCCUGGAGGUCUCUUGAGAAUCUUCUCAAGUGAAAUGCAGAGUUCUUUGCAGAUAUGGACUGCAUGAAAUAUUGGUCUAAUCAUUCUCAAGGUUUUGCCCAAUGCAUCAGAGCCAGUUUUGCAGUUGUCAAAUAUUUGACUGAGAAAGGGUUAAAAACCAAUAGCACUCAAUGGUGAUAGCAGUAAAGGCUUCUGCCUUGUUUGACGAUUCACGGUGGUUUUGCAUCACUUCUUAAUGGAGGGUUAUGUCCAACUCUGCAAAAGCCAUGAUGAUGUCCAGAGUGAUUUACUUGCUUGAUGAUUUGGUUCUUUGAGUCUUAUCACUUUAGUCAUCGGAUGGCAUGACUUUAGAAGCUGAGACAGCUUUUGGGACUGUCACUCGACAUUCUUGGCAAUAUCUGAAGGGACUCGAAACCAUUACAAACAGUCCCUUCAAUUUUCGUAGUGGGCUCAAUGGCUAGUGAUGACGGAUUGGAUGAGAAUGAGGAACUCUCAGCAGAAUUUGUUCCAUUGGCCCUUAGGUCAUCAUUUGGAAGAACCAGCAUUGUAGAUACAUCAGCAAAGUUCACUCUUUCUAAGACUCUCGGUAAAGCAAAGCUAUUCGAUCAGAAUUCUCUAUUUCUAUUAAUUCUGAUGAAGAGGCACACCAAAUUCCUACAAGUCUUCUUUCAGAUUCAAUCCGCCUUCGUCCUUGUCUCAUACUUGGUUGCUGACAAAAGUGUGCUUUUUGUGGUCCUAUUACCACAAAAGUUAUUUCUUGAUUCGGAAUAUGGAAGUUGAUGAAUUUAUUAAUCCCCCUACACCCAGUGAUUCUGCUUGUGAAUGUGAGAGCAAUGAAUUUCAUAAUUCCAAUUCGGAGCCUAUUGAAGCAAAUUCCAGUUCUAGAAAUUCUGAGAUUAAAGAAGACAAACUGACAAUAUGGGUACCACUCUCUAGCUUCCACACUAACAACUCAUUUCCAUCCACUCCUAGGCAAUGCUGAUCAAGUUCGAGUUGGAAAGGCCUUAAAGCAAAUGCCAAGGAAAGAAGCUCAAGUAGCUGCAAAGUUUGGUUAUGAAAGAAUGCAACCUAUGUUAGUAAAAAGGUACUCCAGAAUGUGUGCGCAUCUGCUAUGAGGCUAGCCUGAAGGGUCUUGAUGUUGAAUAUGUUGAUUUGUAUUAUCAGCAUCAUGUAGAUACAUCAGUACCUAUGGAGGUUCAAGUGGGGUCUAUCAGGAAUUGCCCAGGUCACAAGCACCAGUUGAGGGAUGAACAACAAGCAACUUGGAGAACAGAAAUACUGUGCUAUUUAUAUACAUAUAUAUAUACUGGCAAUGUUACUGCCUAGUAGUCAUAUGCAUACUUCACAGUAAAUGAUCUUUCUGAAUUAGUCCCUAAGACCUGCAAGAGGAAAAGGUAGAGUAUAAGGCUGUAUUCCACGACUUUUUUUUAGGGGCCUCCAGAUUCAUUAUUCAUUUACCGGACAUUUCUCAUGGGGUGCUCCAUUUAUCUUGCUCCAAGAAAAGAUUAUGGAGGAAUCAAAGAAGCGGGAGCGGAGGGAUUCAAACAGGUUGUUGAAUGAGAUCAACCAGCUGGAGAGUUGUUCUUGCCUAGCAGCCUUCAGCUUUACAUCGAUGAUAACUAUAACUUAGAGUUUUUAUCAGAAAGCUUCUAGUCACUUGAACUCAGAUGUGAUCUUAAAUCCUGGGAACAACAGGUAUCCUCUACUUGAUUCUAAGGGAAAUUUGAUUGGAAUUGACGCAGCAAUAUUUACUCAUACAGGUAGAGGCCGAUCACUCGCAAAUUCAUACUGGUGAAGGAGUUUUUGGAAAAUAUGUCUUGUUGGAGCUGGUCCUGAUGGGAAACACAGCCAUGGAAGCAGUCACAAUAGUUCUCAAUCUACCUCCAUCACUACCUGGUUCAACGUCAAGAGUUACAUUGAUUGAUAGGGUAUCAGCAUCUGAUCCAAAGUCAGCUUUAGCAUUACAGAGAUCAAUCUAGGUAGAUGUAUGGUUUCUUGGAGAAAAUGCCAAUUAUGCUGUUUCUGAACCCACGGAACUGCAUUGAUGAUGUUAGAUGUAGAUAAAAUGGUCGCUGCUACAGGUUCUCAUGACCCUACUAUGGCUAGUGCAUAUUUCAGCAUGAUGGAUUAUCUCAGUGGUGUUGUCCGCAAGUCUCAAUCUGAAGGACUCGGGAAAUAUCAGGAGCCUGCCCAACCAAAAGAACCCAUCAAGCCAAAGCACAAAGCCAAACCAAAUAGAGCUCGCUUCAAAAGCAAGGCGCACAAGAAGAAAUUCCCUGGAAACAAGGUAGGCACUAAUCGAGUUGAAGAUGCAAGUAGCAUGGGGGUUGAUAUGGAUAAUCAAGUGGGGAUUAUGCCUUGAUUGACAAACUAAUUGGUAACUGUUAAUCUCUCCCGAGCUGACAAAAAUCCCUUGCCAGAAUUGGACUUCCUUUCUAACUUACCAUGCUGGAAUCCCUGGUAAGACUUGGCAAGCCUGAAGAAACUGAGAAAGUGCCAAAUGAAUCAGAAUCAUUUAGCAACUAUUAUGAUCUUCGGGUACCAAACAUUGGUCUACACUUGUCUCGGAUGUAUGCUUGGACGGUCCAGCUGUAAACUGGUCAAGCAUACAGAACACGGUGAAAUAUGAAUGCUGGUUAUGGAGGUGUUACAGCAGCAGUUAAUUUUAGGAGAUAUCUUUCUGUUAUAAUAGUAUAGCUGUCUUGGGAAGACCAUUCCGGUUUCGUAAUCCUAGAAGGAGUUGCAAUGCCUGUCAAAAGAAAUUCAGAAUAACAGCAGCACCAUCAACACCAUCAGAAAUGCAAUUUCAGCCACACUCCCAGGCCCCACUCCAGCAUGGUCACCUUGGUGCACACCAUUCUCCUUUUAGUGCUAUUUCUUUUAUUUUUCCUUAUGAUCUUAUAUGUUUUGAAUUAGGUUUUCAAACUUCCUUUUUUCCAUUCAAAUAAUCUUGGCUUUUUAAAAUUUCAUCUUUAGAAAAUGAAAAUUUGAUUUGAAUAAACUUUUAGUUGCCGAAUUUCUAGCAUGCAUCUUCUUAUUUUCUCUGAUUUUUUUCACUAAUUUUCUCAUUUUUCUCUUUUUUUUUUUAAUCAUGAAAAUCUUAAUGAUUCCAAAAAUAAUGGAAUUCAUAGCAUCAAUUCAUGCAAAAAUGAAUUGGGCCUUGGUGGGGGUCCGACAUCUAUGAUAUUUUCUUCGAUAACAAUUCAAGAGAUGUUAGUUUGAUGUUCGAUUGACAUUGUCCCACUUUGUGAUACGUCUGAGAUUGUUCAAUACCUAUUGAUGAACUAACCUAGUUUCCCAUUGAAGUGCUAGACUUGCUGCCCAGGUUUGCUCUCUACCUUUCACUUUCAAAAUUCCAUAAAUAUGCAAAUCAUUGUGAGCUAUAUCCAUGUUUGAUGUUGUCCUUGAUUCCUUGAUGUUUAUUUGAUAAAAUGUAUGUUGUGUGCUUUAUUUUUUGAACUAACUGUGAUGUCUUGUGAUAACGCUUGAGAAGUAGUCUAGGUACACCCUAACUCUUCUUUAUGAUUGCGAUUUAAAUUCUUAAUUGACAUGUUAGUGUUAGUAGAAUUUUAAAAUCACCUUAGCCCUUCUUGGUAUCCUAAGUCAAUCCGUUAAUUCUCAUAUUUCUCUCAACCUAAUUAGUAGAGACCUUUUUAAGGCUUAGAGGGGUGCUACCUCUUUGAGGUACCUUCCUAAUAGGUAACCUAAUCCCCGAACCAAGACUCGGGCUUUUCGAAGACAUGCUUUUCUGUGAAAAAGAAUGAUUAAUUUAUUCAGAAGUAAUUCAAGGUAUAGGUCUAGGCUCAAAUAAAUACAACUACUAUUACAAAAUGAAAAGAGAAAUUACCCUAUAAAUCCCUACAAAUCAAGGAUUGCUAUCAAUAUAGUUGACUAUACAUGGGAUUCUAUAUUUACGUACUUUUCUAAACUAAAAAUAAAUCCCAUAAUUGUGUCUUUCUAACACUCCCCCUCAAGCUGGUGAAUAGAUAUUUUCCAUUCCCAGCUUGCUCAUGAUUGCUUGGAAUAUGGUACUUGCUAGCCCUUUUGUUAAAAUAUUUGCUAGUUAACCCCCUAUAGGCACAUAAAGUGUGCAGAUCAAGCCACUAUCUACUUUUUCUUUGACAAAGUAUUUGUCAACCUCAAUAUGUUUUUUCCGAUCAUAUUGCACUGGAUUAUAGGCGAUGCUAAUAGCUGAUUUGUUGUCAUAGUAAAGCCUCAUUGGUUCGUCCCGUCUAAUCUUCAAAUCAUCAAGAAUAAUCUUCAAUCAUAACAACUCACAUACACCAUGUACCAUUGCUCUAAAUUCAGACUCAGCACUAGACCUUGUAACCACAGUUUACUUCUUGCUCCUCCAAGUGACUAGGUUUCCACCAACGAAAGUACAAUAUCCCGAUGUUGACCUCUUGUUUACCACCAAGUCUACAUAGUCUGCAUCUGUGUAGGCUUCAAGGGUUCGUUUAGUUCCCUUUUUGAAGAGAAUACCCUUCCCUGGAGAAGACUUUGGAUAAUGAAAGAUCCUAUGAACAGCUUGUAGAUGAGUCUCCUUCAAGCUAUGCAUGAAUUGGUUUAUGACCCCCACUAUGUAAGCAAUAUUUGGCCUUGUAUAGGAGAGAUAAAUGAGCCUUCCAAUGUGCCUCUAGUGCAUCCCCUUGUCCACGGCCUCGUCUUCACUUGCUUCUGUAGUUAGGUGAUUCUGUUCAAUAGGCAUUUCAACAGGUUUACAAGCGAGUUUCCCUGUCUCUUUCAACAAAUCCAACAUGUAUUUGUGUUGGGAGAUAAAUAUUGCUCUCUUGGAGUAAGCCACUUCAAUUCUAAGAAAGUAUUUAAGCUUGCCAAGGUCUUUGAUCUCAAAUUCAUUUGUCAAUUGACAUCUUAGAGCUUCUCUUUCCUUUAAAUCAUUCCUGGUCACAAUUAUGUCAUCCACAUAAACUAACAAAGUCGUGACUACCCCCAACUUCGAGUGGUUAAUAAAGAGAGUGUGAUCACCUUGACUUUGGUUAUACCCCAUUAUCGUCAUAGCUUUAGAGAAUCUGCCGAACCAAACCCCUAGGGAUUGUUUAAGUUCGUAAAGGGCCUUCUUCAAUUUACACACCCUUUUUUCUCUCAACUCACCUCCAAAACCAGGUGGGAUUUCCAUGUAAAUUUUCUCUUAAAGAUCACCAUAUAAUAAUGCAUUUUUCACAUCAUAUUGAUGCAACUCCCAAUCAUAAUUAGCAACUAGAGACAACAAAAUCAUUACCAUAUUCAUUUUUGCUACGGUGCAAAGGUCUCCUGAUAAUCCACCCCAUAUGUUUGAGUGUAGCCUUUUGAAACUAACCGAGCCUUAUACCUCUCAAGUGAUCCAUCUACCUUAUACUUCAGUAAAGACCGACUUACAUCCCACAAGGCUCUUUCCUUGAGGCAGGUCAACCAAUUUCCAAGUUUUGCUUUUCUCAAGUGUCUCCAUUUACACUCGCAUAGCUUGUUUCCAUUCCUCACUGUUUAGAGCUUUGGAUAGAGUGCUAGGGAUGGAUAUAUGUUUAGUCUCAUGAGGAAGCUUUUAUGAGAAGGUGACAAGUUCUUGUAUGACACAAAAUGAGACAAUGGGUAGAGUGGAUGCUUGGUGAAUUUUGGGUAGAUCAUGGUCAAGACUAUCAAGAGGUGCAAGUGAAUUUUCAGAAGUAGGGUCAGAAAUGGUGUUACCCUUUUUCCCUUUUUUUUUUUUUUUUUUUUUUUUUUUUUUUUUUUUCGGGGCUGGUUCGAACUCGUGGGCUUGUAAGAGGUCAGGAAUGUGUGCAUUCCUCCUUGAAUGCACCUGCAAAGGUCAUGUGGGACCAGGGAUUUCCUUUACCUUAGUCGAAUACUUUGAAUUUUCAUUCAAAGGUUGAGACUCAAGUUCUUAGAUCGGGACAACAUGUGGAUUUGGAGACUCAGACUCUUGAGUUGGACCGGAUUGAGACUUGAGUUGAACAGACCCCAGAAGAAAGCUCCAACAAAAACAAAUCUCGAUCCUUAUCUUCCAUCAAUGAUGUCUCCCCCUAAAGAUAAGGAGUGGGAAAAUAUGGUUCAUUCUCGAAAAAGGUGACAUCAACAAACACACGAAAUUUCCUCGUAGGAGGAUGAUAACAUUUGUAACCUUUUUUAGUAGAGGAAUAUCCCAUAAAGGCAUCUAAUAGCUCUUAAAACAAAUUUUCCCUAGUUUUGAGCAUGAACAUGGACAAAUGAUACACAACCAAAGAUUCGAGGAACAAGGUUAUUGGAGGUAGUGAAGUUCAGGUAGAAUUUAGAAAAGACUUCCAUAGGACUUUUGAACCCCAACACACUCAAAGGUAAUCGGUUUAUAAAGUGGGUAGUUGUGAGGACCUCUCCCCAGUACGUCUUUAGCACAUUGUUUUGAAACAAAAAAGCUCAGGUUGACGCUAGCAAAUGACCAUUCUUCCAUUCAACGACCCCAUUUUGUAAUGGAGUGCUUAAACAAGAAGACUCAUGAAUGAUUCCCUCUUUUUGAAAGUAAGUGGAUAAGACCUAAUUAAAGUAAUCAUGAGCAUUAUUAGACCUAAAUCCUUUUAUUGCCACACCAAACUGAUUUUUUACCAUGCUAUGAAAAAUUGGGAACACAGUAUUGACAUCAGAUUUUUGUUUCAUAAGAUAGAGCUAAGUAACAUGAGUGCAAUCAUCAAUAAAGGAAACAAAUCAACGAGUGCCAAAAACAUUGGGAAUUGUUGAAUAUAAUGUAUUUAUAGUAUAUUAUCUUUCCUUGUUAAUAUAGGUCACAUGUAUGGUAGUUAGGACUCCUAGCCUUGUAUAUAUAUAUCUCUCAAUUGUAAGUAGAAAAUACAUGAAUGAGAAUUAAGGUUUUUCUCCUUUCUCUCUCUCUCUCAACAUGGUAUCAGAGCCAAAGGAGAAAACCUAAUUUUUUUUUCGGUUUAGCCGUGUAAUCAAUUCCAGCGAACUGUCCAGUGACCGUGUUUCACUCCGGUCCCCUCACUUUCUUCCCAAACCACUCCGGACAACCUCAUCGCCGUCGGAUCUCCACCACGCCGGCAACCUUUUCCGGCGAACUUUCCGGCGAACUUUCCCGGCGACGUCUUUUUCCUACACCGACCACACCAAGAGGAGAGCGCCUGGAGGAGAUCUCCAACUUCUUCAAAAGCAUCGGAGCCAAAAAACCCUCCACGCGCUGGCCACGCGCACUUCUCCGGCCGGCGCGUGAGGGCGCGUGAGACCUUUUCCGGCGACGCGCCUCCUCCUCCAGCCUCGCCUGACGCCGACCAGCAUCCCUACCUACCUGGUUUUCCCAUCCGAGCCCUGCACGUACCUCUUUUGGGGAUUUUUGUCUCCGUCAGCCCUCCAAACAGCCUUUCCGGCGAAGUUCCGACUACUUUUUCUCCACCCCAAUCCCUGCACGUGCCUUGGGAAGUGUUCUUCUACCCUUCUGGUGGUACCACGUCGCGAUCUGAGGCCGUCUCCCUUUUUCGGUGGUGCCACGCCGCAAUCUGAAGCCGUAUUAGGGCUCUCUUCGAUCCAAAUACGUGAAUAUGACCACCAACAAUCAGAUCUUUACCUCUGUUAUCUUUGGAUCUCCUAUGAUUACCUCAGAGAAAUUGGUUGGCAGUGAGAAUUAUCGCUCCUGGUCUGCCUCUGUUGAACUUUGGUUUAUGGGUCAAGGAUAUGAGGAUCACUUGGUUACCCAGGAGGUAGAUAUUCCUGAGGUUGACCGCGUACAGUGGAGGAAGAUAGAUGCACAGUUAUGUAGUGUAUUAUGGCAAUCGGUUGAUCCCAGGAUUCUUCUUCAUCUUCAGGCCUAUAAAACUUGUUUUAAAUUUUAGACUCAGGCCAAAGGAUUAUACACAAAUGAUAUCCAGCGUCUUUAUAAGGUGGCUUCUGCUAUUGUCCAUCUCAGCCAACAGGACUUGGAUCUAUCUACUUAUAUUGGUCAGAUUGCCUCUCUUAAGGAGGAGUUCUUGACUGUGAUGCCUCUUACUCCUGAUGUUGGGGCUCAACAAACACAGCUUGACAAGUUCUUCAUGGUCCUACCCUUAUUGGCCUCCGUCCGGAUCUUGAGUCUAUUCGUGAUCAGAUUCUUGGAAGUUCAUCAGUUCCGUCCUUGGAUGAUGUGUUUGCUCGCCUCCUCCGUAUCUCGUCCACUCAGACUUUGCCAUCUGAUAGCGCUUCAGAUUCUUCUGUGUUAGUUUCUCAAACUACCUCUCGAGGAGGACGCAGUGGUACCCGAGGUAGAGGCCAACGUCCUCAUUGCACCUAUUGCAAUAAACUUGGCCACACUCGCGAUCGUUGCUAUCAGUUACAUGGAAGACCUCCUCGCACUGCCCAUAUGGCCCAGUCCUCUGAUUCUCCGCUGCCUCAGCCUCCGAGCUCCUCCGCAUCUCAGACAUCUCAGGCUUCUAUUGCCUCUGUUGCCCAGCCUGGUAAUGCCUCUGCCUGCCUUACCCACACAUCUUCUCUUGGACCCUGGAUUCUAGAUUCUGGAGCAUCUGAUCACCUAUCUGGUAAUAAGGAUCUUUUCUCCUCUAUUACUACUACCUCUGAUUUACCUACUGUUACCUUAGCUAAUGGUUCUCAGACUGUGGCUAAAGGUAUUGGUUUGGCCCUUCCUCUGCCUUCUCUACCUCUCACUUCUGUCCUUUAUACUCCUGAAUGUCCUUUUAAUCUUAUUUCCAUCAGCAAAAUCACUCGUACUCUUAAUUGCUCUAUUACCUUUUCUGAUAAAUUUGUGACCUUGCAGGACCGGAGUACGGGGAAGACGAUUGGCAUAGGACGUGAGUCUCAAGGCCUCUAUCACCUCACCUCAGAUUCAUCUCCUGCAGUUUGCAUUUCCACUGAUGCUCCUCUCCUCAUUCACAAUCGUCUGGGCCACCCUAGUCUCUCCAAGUUCCAGAAGAUGGUUCCUCGUUUUACCACUUUGUCGUCGCUUCCGUGUGAGUCAUGUCAGCUUGGGAAACAUACUCGUGUCUCGUUCCCAAAGCGUUUGAAUAAUCGGGCAAAGUCUCCUUUUGAGCUUGUCCACACUGAUGUUUGGGGUCCUUGUUGGACUGCGUCUACUUUAGGAUUUCAGUAUUUUGUCACUUUCAUUGAUGACUAUUCUCGAUGUACUUGGUUAUUUUUAAUGAAAAAUCGAGCUGAGUUAUUCUCUAUUUUCCAGAAAUUUUAUACUGAAAUCCAAACCCAUUUCAAUAUUUCUAUUCGUGUGUUACGCAGUGACAAUGCCUGGGAAUAUUUUUCAGCCCAAUUUACUUCGUUUAUGUCUCAUCAUGGAAUUCUUCAUCAGUCUUCUUGUGCUCAUACUCCUCAACAAAAUGGGGUAGCUGAACGCAAGAAUCGACAUCUUGUUGAGACAGCUCGUACUCUCCUCCUCCAUAGUCACGUUCCUUUUCGUUUUUGGGGGGACGCUGUUCUUACCGCUUGUUAUUUGAUUAAUCGUAUGCCCUCCUCUGUCUUACACGAUCAGAUUCCUCACUCCCUUCUCUUCCCUGACCAACCACUUUAUUUCCUUCCUCCUCGUGUCUUUGGUUGUACUUGCUUUGUUCAUAUUCUCACUCCUGGACAGGACAAGCUUUCCGCCAAAGCCAUGAAGUGCCUCUUCUUGGGAUAUUCCAGACUUCAGAAGGGUUAUCGUUGUUAUUCCCUUGAGACUCAUAGAUACUUUAUCUCCGCUGAUGUCACCUUCUUUGAGGACUCACCAUUCUUUUCCACCACUUCUGAGUCUCUUCCUGUUUCUGAAGUUUUGCCCAUUCCCAUUGUCUCCCCACCUGAUGCUAUGCCCCCUCGACCACUUCAGGUUUAUCAUCGUCGCCCUCAUGUCGUUGCUCCUCUCCCUUUUCCUGAGGCACCUGCUGACUCACUUCCUAUCCCUUCGGCUUCACCUGCCCCGGCUCUGCCUUCUCCUAAUGACUUACCCAUUGCUGUUCGGAAAGGUACUCGCUCUACUCGUAAUCCUCAUCCUAUUUACAAUUUUUUGAGUUAUCAUCGCUUAUCUUCACCCUAUUCUGCUUUUGUUUCUGCUAUAUCCUCUGUUUCUCUUCCAAAGAGCACCCAUGAAGCUCUUUCCCAUCCAGGCUGGCGACAGGCAAUGGUGGAUGAAAUGGCUGCUCUGCACUCUAAUAGCACUUGGGAUCUUGUUGUUUUACCCUCUGGUAAAUCUACAGUUGGUUGUCGUUGGGUCUAUGCCCUUAAGGUUGGUCCUGAUGGUCAGGUUGAUCGCCUUAAGGCCCGCUUAGUUGCUAAAGGCUAUACUCAAGUUUAUGGUUCUGAUUAUGGUGACACAUUCUCCCCUGUUGCCAAGAUUGCUUCUGUCCGCUUGCUUCUCUCCAUGGCUGCUAUGUGUUCUUGGCCUUUUUAUCAGUUGGAUAUUAAAAAUGCCUUCCUUCAUGGUGAUCUUGCCGAGGAAGUUUAUAUGGAGCAACCUCCUGGUUUUGUUGCUCAGGGGGAGUCUGGUUUAGUGUGCAGGUUACGCCGUUCUCUAUAUGGCUUGAAACAAUCUCCUCGAGCAUGGUUUAGCCAUUUUAGUUCUGUUGUUCAAGAGUUUGGCAUGCUUCGCAGUACAGCAGACCAUUCAGUUUUUUAUCAUCAUAACUCCUUGGGGCAGUGUAUUUAUCUGGUUGUUUAUGUGGACGACAUCGUCAUUACAGGCAGUGAUCAGGAUGGUAUUCAAAAACUAAAGCAACAUCUUUUUACCCACUUUCAGACCAAAGACUUGGGGAAACUCAAGUAUUUCUUGGGAAUUGAGAUAACUCAAUCCAAUUCUGGUGUGGUCCUUUCCCAAAGGAAGUAUGCUUUAGACAUCCUAGAAGAAACCGGUAUGUUAGACUGUAAACCGGUAGACACACCUAUGGAUCCGAAUGUCAAACUUGUACCAGGACAGGGGGAGCCUUUAGGAGACCCUGGGAGAUAUCGACGGCUCGUAGGUAAAUUGAACUAUCUAACCAUUACUCGUCCAGACAUUUCUUUUCCUGUGAGUGUUGUUAGUCAAUUCCUAUAGUCACCAUGUGAUAGCCAUUGGGAUGCCGUAAUCCGUAUUCUUCGAUAUAUCAAAAGUACACCAGGCUAAGGUGUAUUGUACGAGAACAGAGGUCAUACUCAAGUUGUUGGUUACACAGAUGCAGAUUGGGCUGGCUCACCCACAGAUAGACGUUCCACUUCAGGGUACUGUGUUUUUAUUGGAGGUAAUCUAAUAUCUUGGAAGAGUAAGAAACAAGAUGUAGUGGCCAGAUCUAGCGCUGAAGCCGAGUAUCGAGCUAUGGCUUUGGCAACAUGUGAACUCAUAUGGUUGAGACAUCUUCUUCAGGAGUUGAGAUUUGGAAAGGAUGAACAGAUGAAACUCAUCUGUGAUAACCAGGCCACAUUACAUAUUGCAUCCAAUCCAGUCUUUCAUGAAAGGACCAAGCAUAUUGAAGUUGACUGUCAUUUCAUUAGAGAGAAGAUCGCAUCAGGAUGUGUUGCUACAAGUUUUGUUAAUUCAAAUGAUCAACUAGCAGACAUCUUCACUAAAUCUCUCAGAGGUCCUAGGAUUAAAUAUAUUUGUAACAAGCUUGGUGCAUAUGACGUAUAUGCUCCAGCUUGAGGGGGAGUGUUGAAUAUAAUGUAUUUAUAGUAUAUUAUCUUUCCUUGUUAAUAUAGGUCACAUGUAUGGUAGUUAGGACUCCUAGCCUUGUAUAUAUAUAUCUCUCAAUUGUAAGUAGAAAAUACAUGAAUGAGAAUUAAGGUUUUUCUCCUUUCUCUCUCUCUCUCAACAGGAAUAGUAGAGGGACCCUAGAUAUCACUAUGAAUGAACGAGAAUUGAACAAAAGCUCUACUAUUACUGAUGGCGAAAGGUACACAAUGAUGUUUGGAAAAUUCAUAAAUAUCACAAUGAAGACUUUCCACAUAAAUUCCUUUGAACAAUAAUGGGAACAAAAUUGUCAAAGCACUAAAAGACGGAUGACCUAAACUACGAUGAUGUAGCCAAAUUUUAGCUUUAUUGGAAACAAUUUUAGAAAUAAACGACCUAGGUAAAUUAUUCUUAGUCUUACUUGGAUAGCUUGAUGCUUCAAGGUAGUACAACCCAUACUUUUCUCUUGCACGUCCAAUCAUCUUGCCUGAGUCCCAGUCCUGAAAAACACAAUGAGUAUGGUGAAAAAUGACACUACAAUUCAUGUCCUAUGUAAGUUUAUGGAUUGAAACCAAAUUGGUAGACAAUUUAGGAACAUGUAAAACAUUUUUCAACACAAGGGAAUGAUGUAUUUUAAUUUCACCUUGACCGGCAACAAUGGUCAAUGACCCAUCUGCCAAUGCAAUCUUUUUAUUACUAGGACAUGGACUGUAGGUACUAAAUUUGAGGGAAGAAUUUGUCAUGUGUUUUGUUGCUUUUGAGUCAAUGAUCCAAGAGUUUGGAAAAUUAAUAUUUGAAGCACUUAACGCAUGAGAGAUAAGAGACUUACUUGCGAGUGCCAAUGAGUAAGCACCCGAGGGUUUUUCCAAUGUUCCCAACAAGCUUCUCAGUUUCUCAAUCUCUUCUUUGUUAAACUCUCCAGUGUCUUGGGAACUUUCCUCACCUGGUUGAGUAGCAAAAAGAUGAGCCUGCUCCUAAUUACUUUGUUGUUCACCUUUACUGUUUCAGUUCUUUUCAUGGCCUGGUUUUUUUUAUAGUAAUUACACCAAUGAAUAUCUUUGUCAUCUGCUUUGGACAAAUUUGCCUUGCCAUUCCCGUAGUUGGAAACCUGAUUUGAUCCACCAUUGGAAAGCAUUGUCGGAUUCCCGUUCGAGACCAUUAUUGAGCUAUCUGCUGCUUGGGAUUCAAUCAUCAUCCCUGCCUAAGACUUGGCUUCGUUUAUGAUCAUAUUCCACAUUGAGGCUAGCAAGAAACUCAAAGAUUCUCUCUUUCUCCACAAAUCUCUUAAGCAAGGCUACAUCCUCACUGCACAUCAUCUUAAGGCAUUGACAAUGAUGCAAUUCUUGCCAUAGUGUAGACCCUCCAUUUUGUCCCUUUAGCACAUGUCUUUAAGUUCACUUCCAGUGUUCCACAAUGGUCUACUGAUGGCCCAUUACUACUCGUGUAGCUUACCUUUUCUGAGCCACCUCGGAGACUUUAGUUGAGGGGUUUAUCCGGCUCCAUAUUAUGAGCUUGGCUACCCUUCAAGUUUAGAUUAGGCUUCACUUAGGUGCACUUUAGGUUAGACUUAGUUAGGCCCACCAAGUCUCGCUUUAGGCCUGUCUAGGUUCACUUAAGCCCUCUUAGGCACACUUGGCCUAUUAGACUUUUUUUAACGUUUCUUGCAUGACUCACGUAGUCGCAUGACUUACAUGACCCGCAUAGGAUUGACCAUUUUAUUUUAUUAUUUUGUUUUACUUUAUUUAUUUAUUUUAUUUUACUUUAUUCUUUUAUAUGUUGCAACAUUGCUAACUCUUCUUUGGUUUUAUUCUUUCUAUUUUCGUUUUUAUUGUUUGACAAGAGAAUGGGGGUUGUUGAUCAACUCUCACUAAGGCACAUGCACUCAAAGAAUGUAAAAAAAAUAUUUUUGGAGGGAAAAUAGGAUUAAUGUAGCUGCAUACAUAUGGAAAGAGGAGAUCCUACAUAGAAAGAGAGAAGCAUUCUAAUUUUCGGAAAGAAAGGGAAAUAAAAGAAAGGAAAGUGGAUUUCCUUCAGCAGAUUGAAUUUUUGGGAGGCUGAUACAAAUACAUAAAAAAAAUGACGAAUUGAAGAAAGGAAAGGGGGGAUUUUCCUUUUUGGAACAGAUUUAGGUUUUGGGGGCUGAUAUAUAUAUGUGAGAAUGGAUGUUGGAGAGGGAGAUUCUUUGAUUGUCUUGGUGGAAAAGCACACAAGAGUGGGAAAGGGGUGAUUGCAGCCAAGGUUCUUCCAGGUACGUUUCUGGCUAUUCUCGGAAUUCUUACUCAUGUUCGAUUUCUCCAUGUGUUUGUUUCUGAAUAUUAAAUAAACUGUUGAUUGGUGUGGACGUUAAGGGCCACAAGUUGUUCUGCUGAGAUUGGUCGUUUACUUCUUUACCCUAUUUCGAUUUUGAUUAUUUUAUGUGUCAUUGAUGUCUUGAGAAAUAUAUAACUCCAUGCCUGAAUGUGAUCAUGCUCUGUUUUCAUUUAAAUCCUAUUCUGCAUUGUUCCUUCUGUUCUUAGCCCAUGGAUUAAUACUUGAAGUGGGGGGCUAUUUAUGUUUACUGAUCAAUAUCUUCUGCUCUUUCCUUCUCCGAGUUUUGCUUCGUUUUUUUUUAUUUGUUCUAUAUUCCUUUCCCCACACGGUGUUCGAAUCCUUGCCUUUGUAUUUGGGUGUACAUUGGGGAAUGACGGAAGUGUCGAUAUGAGGGAUGAGGUGUGCAGAAAUCCCACUCAAAUGUUGGAUAACUGAUUCCGAGGUAUUGUAGUGGACAGUGGAGACUGGAGGUAGCAUCCCAUUGGCAUCAGAUUUGGCUUUUCUAACCCUAUAGGACUCAAUGGCCCAUACAGAAUCGCAUCUCCUGGAGUUAUCUGCAAGCGUCGAUAUGAGGGAUGAAGUGUGCAGAAAUCCCACUCAAAUAUUGGAUAACUGAUUCCGAGGUAUUGUAGUGGACUGUGGAGACUGGAGGUAGCAUCCCAUUGGCAUCAGAUUUGGCUUUUCUAACCCUAUAGGACUCAAUGGCCCAUACAGAAUCGCAUCUCCUGGAGUUAUCUGCAAGCGUAGUUAAAUGGGUUAAAGUCAAGCUAAUAUAUUCCCUUGCUUUCGAAUCAUCACAUUAUCAUCAGCCAACAUAUUGUUGAGGACAGUAAGAUAUGACGUGAAGAAAGUAAUUCACGCUGGGCUUUUCUUUAGAGAAAUAGAUUCUCCUCCACUCCUUUUAAGGGAGCUUCUGUAAAUGGUAAUGAUCCUAUCUCACGGAUGGCCAACACCACCUUUAUUUAUCCCUUCCAAUUUGUCAAGCGGUUCUGACCACAAGAAUAAUAGUCUCAGAGAAAGCAGUUUGACUUGUAAGGCAGGGCAUCAAGAAACAUAUUCAAGCACAGGAUAUUUUUGUUGGUAAUGUAGUCUGGCUUCGUGAGAAUGAAGAAGUGCCAUGUGAUCUUGUUUUAAUUGGCACCUCUGAUCCACAAAGUGUUUGCUAUGUGGAGACAGCUGCCCUAGAUGGGGAAACCGAUCUUAAGAUGAGGGUUAUAUCCUCUGCUUGCAUGAGUAUAGAUUUUGGGCUAUUGCACAAAACGAAGGGUGUUAUUGAGUGUCCCAUUCCAGAUAAGGACAUUAGAAGAUUUGAUACAAAUCUGCGUUUGUUCCCUCGGUUCAUCAAUAAUGAUCUGUCCUUUAACCAUUAAAAAAAAAAAAAACCAAUUCUUCAGUCAUGCUACUUGCGGAACACAGAGCGGGUUCGUGGGGUCGCUGUUUAUACAGGCAAUGAAACCAAGUUGGAUAUGAGUCGAGGUAUUCCUGAAUCAAAAUUAACAGCUGUAGAUGCCAUGAUUGACAAGCUAAUUGGAGCAAUAUUUGUUUUUCAAAUAUUGGUUGUCAUUGUUCUAGGCACAGCUGGGAAUGUUUGGAAAGAUACAGAAGCAGUAAAGCAAUGGUAUGUUCUAUACUCAAAGGAAGGGCCAUGGGAUGAGCUAUUGGUCAUUCCUCUACGGUUUGAGCUUCUUUGUUCAAUUAUGAUCCCCAUAUCUAUAAAGGUAUCUUUGGAUCUUGUGAGGAGCUUAUAUGCAAAGCUCAUUGAUUGGGAUAACCAAAUGAUUGACCAAGAAACGAGUGUUCCAUCCCAUGCAACAAAUACGGCAAUAAGUGAGGACUUGGGGC
rnacentral:lncRNA from 1 species